rnacentral:lncRNA from 1 species
AUCUAUCCGGUCCUCUGGCAUUGGAUACAUCCACUCGAUGCCCCCGACUAAGAUUAGCCACCGAUGUAUCUAAUCUAUUCAUCCAAGCCUCCUGCUUCUCCAACCUAUCUCUCACAUCUCCAAACGCCCUCUCAAACCUCUGCACCAAAUCCUCUGAUGCAUUGCUAUUAUUGCCUUGUCGGCUUGAAUUUGAUUCUGCCAUUUCUGACAUCCUAACACUAAAGAUCUUUAUUUUACUGCCUCAUCAAAAGUCACUCGAAAACACACAAGGGGUUUUACCCUCUAUUAAGCUCACCUCUCUGCUUUUUACCACUUAAUUCUUUCAACAAUUGCUUCUAGGAACAAUCAAUGAACUCAAUCAAUCAAUCAAAUUGUGUAGAAUUCCCCAAACCGGAUGUGACUCAAUAAUUGUAACAAAGGACUCAAAGAAAACUUUUAAAGCUUGACUUGAAUUGAAAGAAUGGAAUGACUUAAUGUGUCCAAGUAAUUUAGAAACGAUAAUGAAUAAUAAAAGUUGGUAUUUGAUGGAUCAAUAAUAUUUAACAAGGUUUUGUACGGAUGAACAGUACCGUACAGAUGAACGGUAAUUUUUUUUAGAUCUGGAAAUCAAUAAAAAAACUAACGAAGAAAAUGAAAACUGAUUCGAACAAAAAUUGAGCCCAGAAAUGGAAUUUGAAAUUUUUUUAUGAAACUUUUGGAUCAAAGAUCAAGAAAACCUUCUGGAUACAAGAACACAAGGAAUUGAAAAAAAAUUAGAAAACAAAGGAUAUAACUUGAUUAAAUUGGAGCCAAAGCUUUGAUACCAACCGAUACGAACCCCGUAGCAAUGGAAACUACGAAACCCACAACGAGAUUGAUGCGGAACCCAAGAACGCCAAUACUAACCACGUUUUGGAUCUUGAACCCCAAGAAUUGAACCAAGAAACCCUAGAUUAGCGAAGAACCUAAAACCCCUUGAUUAAAAUUAAAAGAACCCACAAUCCGAUUGAUUAGAACGCCACAAGAAGUUGAAUUUUGAUAAGUUCCAAGAUUAUUCAAGAAGAACAAGAAAUUGAAAGAACAAUUCUCUCUCUAUAAUAUUAAGAAAAAGUUAAAAGUUGUUACAAUGAAAAGUAUUCUCGUAUUUAUACUAAGGAGUAAAAACGUCCAAAAUCAUGGUAAUAAUUUGAUUUCAUAAGAAUUCUAUCGAAACUAGGAAAUUCGGCCAAAAUUAGAAAAUUCGCCAAUUUUUUUGGCUUGUGCGGCCGCAUAGUGUAAUUCCAUGCGGUCGCAUGGUUCAACAAGAAAUGCAAUAUUUGUUUUCGGUAUGCCACUGUGUGGCUGCAUGAUGUUUUGCCUGUGCAGCCGCAAAGGCUUGUUUUCAGCCUCCGAUUUUGUCGCUUGAUAACAAAUUGAUCCAAGUUGAUUCGGCCUUCGACCCGAACAUGAAAGUUGCUCCAUUUUGAGUCUCGAACAUGGUUCCAUCAAUGGUUUCUUGAACGAGAAAUCCCAUCGCUUGUUUCACUUGCUUUGUCCUUGAUCGCGUCAUUGGUCCGCCAUCGACUAUCAGCGGGUCUCAUCUCACACUUGCCUUCGUCGGGCUUGACUCCUGGAUCAUAUCACUUACGGCAUGGACACUAUGGUGUACACUUUAGUUUACACUUUCCCAAGGUUCAUUACCCUAUUGGACAGUAAAUAUUUCAAACAAUUUUCCAUUCAAUUGAUAAUUGACAACAAUCGGUAAGAACCUUGCGACAUUUACACUGUGGUGUACACUUUAGUUUACACUUUGCCACGUGACACUGCCAUACUGGACUGUUUAAAUUUCAAAAAGUUUUCUCAUCUAAUUGACACUUCACAAUAAAGUGAGUGUCAAACAACGUUUCAAAAAUCAGUGUACAAAUAGCAAAGUUCAAUCGGUAAGAACUUUGCUACAUGUACACUAUGGUGUAAACUUUAGUUUACACUUUGCCACGUAACAUUACCCUGUCGGACAUUUUAAAUUUCAAACAGUUUUCUCAUCUAAUUGACACCUGACAACAAAGCAAGUGUCAAACAACGUGUCAAAAAUCAGUGUAUAAAUAGCAAAGUUCAAUCAGCAAGAAUCUUACCACAUGUACACUAUGGCAUACACUUUAGUUUACACUUUGCCAGGUGUCAUCACCCUGUUGGAUAGUUUAAAUUUCAAAAAAUUUUCCCAUCCAAUUGACACUUGACAACAAUCCAAAUGUCAAACAACAUUUCAAAAAUUAGUGUACAAAUAACAAAGUUCAUUCGGUAAAAACCUUGCUACAUGUACACUAUGGUGUACACUAUAGUCUACACUUUGCUUCGUGACUUUACUCUAUUGGACAAUUUAAAUUUCAAUCAAUUUUCCAUCCAAUAGACCCUUGAGAACAAUAAAGGCGUCAAAUAACUUGUCAAAAAUCUGUGUACGAAUAGCAAAGUUCAAUCGGUAAAGACCUUGCUACACGUACGCUAUGGUGUACACUUUAGUUUACUCUUUGCCAUGUGACAAUAGCUUGUUGGACAGUUUAAAUUUCAAACAGUUUUUCCAUCCAAUUGACACUUGACAAUAAUGCAAUUGUACAAAUAGUAAAGUUCAAUCGGCAAGAACCUUGCUACAUGUACACUAUGGCCCACUUUAAUUUACACUUUGUCAUGUGACAAUACCCUGUUGGACAGUUUAAAUUGCAAACAAUUCUCCCAUCCAUUUGACAAUCGACAACAACUAUGCAAUUGUAAAAGGUGUCAAAAAUUAGUGUACAAAUAACAAAGUUCAAUCAGUAAGAACCUUGCGACAUGCACACUACAGUGUACACUUUAGUUUACAAUUUACCACGUGACACUACCCUGUUAGACAAUUUAAAUUUCAAACAAUUUUUCCAUCUAAUUGACACUUGACAACAAUAUAGGUGUCAAACAACGUGUCAAAAAUUAGUGUACAAACAGUAAAUUUCAAUCGGUAAGAACCUUGCUACAUGUACACGAUGGUGCAGACUUUAAUUUUACACUUUGCCUCAUGACAUUACCCUGUUGGACAGUUUAAAUUUCAAACAGUUUUCCCACCUAAUUGACACUUAACAACAAUGCAAGUGCCAAACGACAUGUCAAAAAUCAGUGUACAAAUAGCGAAGUUCAAUCGUAAGAACCUUACUACAUGUACACUAUGGUACACUUUAAUUUUCACUUUGCCACAUGACAUUACCCUGUUGGACAGUUUAAAUUUCAAACAGUUUUCCCAACCAAUUAACAAUUGACAACAAUGCAAGUGUCAAAGGUAUCAUAAAUCAGUUUACAAAGAGCAAAGUUCAAUCGGUAAGAACCUUGCGACAUGUACACUAUGGUGUACACUUUAGUUUACACUUUGCCAUGUGACACAUCCCUGCUAGACAGUUUAAAUUUCGAACAGUUUUCCCAUCCAAUUGACACUUGACAACAAUGUAAGUGUAAAACAACGUGUCGAAAGACAGAGUACAAAUAGCAAAGUUCAAUCGUUAAGAACCUUGUUAUUUGUAUACUAUGGUGUACACUUUAGAGUACGCUUUUCCACGUGACAUUACCCUGUUGGACAGUUUAAAUUUCAAACAGUUUUCCAAUCCAAUUAACACUUGCCAAUGAUGCAUGUGUCAAACAACGUAUCAAAAAAUAUUAAACAAAGAGCAAAGUUCAAUCGGUAAGAACCUUACGACAUGUACACUAUGAUGUACACCUUAGUUUACACUUUGCCAGGGGUCAUUACCCUAUUGGACAGUAUAAAUUUCAAACAACUUCCCAUCCAAUUGACAAUUGAAAACAAUGCAAGUGUCAAACAACUUGUCAAAAAUCAGCGUACAAAUAGCAAAGUUUAAUCGGUAAGAACCUUGCUACAUGUACACUAUGGUGUACACUUUAGCUUACACUUUGUCACGUAACAUUUCCCUGUGGGAUAGUUUAAAUUUCAAACAGUUUCCCCAUCUAAUUAACACUGACAACAAUGCAAGUGCCAAACAACGUGUCAAAAAUCAGUGUACAAAUAGCAAAGUUCAAUUGGUAAGAAGCUUGCCGCAUGUACACUAUGACGUACACUUUAGUUUACACUUUGCUAGGUGUCAUACCCUGUAGGACGGUUUAUAUUUCAAAUAGUUUUCCCGCCCAAUUGACACUUGUCGACAAUGCAAGUGUCAAACAACGUGUAAAAAAUAAGUGUACUAUAAGCAAUGUUCAAUCGGUAAGAACCUGGCUACUUAUACCCUAUGGUGUAAACUUUAGUUCACACUUUCCCCCAUGACAUUACUCCAUUGGACAGUUUAAAUUUCAAAUAGUUUUUUCAUCCAAUUGACACUUGACAACAAGACAAGUGUCAAACAACGUGUCAAAAAUUAGUGUACGAAUAGCAAAGUUCAGACGGUAAGGACCUUGGUACAUGUACACUAUGUUGUGCACUUUAGUAUACAGUUUGCCAGGUGUCAUUACCCUAUUGGACAGUUUAAAUUUCAAACAGCUUUCCCAUCCAAUUGACACUUGACAACAAUGUAAACGUCGAACAACUUGUUAAAAAUCAGUGUACAAACAGCAAAAUUCAAUCGGUAAGGACCUUGCUACAUGAACACUAUGGUGUACACUUUAGUUUACACUUUGUCACGUAACUUUAUCCUGUUGGGCAGUUUAAAUUUCAAAUAGUUUCACAUCUAAUUGACACCUGACAACUAUGCAAAAAUCCUCGUGUCAAAAAUUAGUGUACAAAUAGCAAAGUUCAAUCGGUAAGAACCUUGCCACAUGUACACUAUGGUGUACACUUUAGUUUACACUUUGCCCCAUGACAUUACUCUAUUAGACAGUUUAAAUUUUAAAUAGUUUUUCCAACCAAUUAACCUUGACAAUAAUACAGCUGUCAAGUAACGUGUCGAAAUUAAGUGUACAAAUAGCAAAGUUCAAUCGGUAAGGACCUUGCUACAUGUACACUAUGGUGUACACUUUAGUUUACUCUUUGCCACGUGAUAUUACCCUGUUGGACAGUUUAAAUUUUAAACAGUUUUCCCAUCCAAUUGACACUUGACAACAAUGCAAGUCUCAAACAACAUGACAAAAAUUAGUGUACGAAUAGCAAAGUUAAAUAGACAAAAACCUUGCGAUAUGUACACUAUAGUGCACUUUAAUUUACACUUUUCCACGUGACAUUAUCAUGUUGGACAGUUUAUAUCGCAAACCAUUUUUCCAUCCAAUUGACACUUGACAAAAGCAGUGCAGGUGUAAAAUGUGUCGAAAAUCAGUGUACAAAUAACAAAGUUCAAUCGGUAAGAACAUUGCGACAUGUACACUAUGGUGUACACUUUAGUUUACAAUUCACCACGUGCCACUACCCUACUGGACAGUUUAAAUUUCAAACAGUUUUCCCAUCUAAUUGACACUUGACAACAAUGCAAGUGUCAAACAACAUGCCAAAAAUCAGUGUACCAAUAGCAAAGUUCAAUCAAUAAGAACCUUGCUACAUGUACCCUAUGGUGUAGACAUUAAAUUUAUGCUUUGCGACGUGACAUUACCCUAUUGGACAGUUUAAGUUUCAAAAAGUUUUCCCAUCUAUUUGAUGCUUGACAACAAGGCAAGUGUUAAACAACGUGUCAAAAAUCAGUGUACAAAUAGAGAAAUUUCAACCGGUUAGAACCUUGCUACAUGUACACUAUGGUGUACACUUUAGUUUACACUUUGCUAAGUAACAUUACCCUGUUGGACAGUUUAAAUUUUGAGCAGUUUUCCCAUCUAAUUGACACCUGACAACAAUGCUAGUGUCAAACAACGUGUCAAAAAUUAGUGUACAAAUAGCAAAGUUCAAUCGGUAAGAAACUUGCCAAAUGUACACUAUGUCGUACACUUUAGUUUACACUUUGCCAGGUGUCAUUAUCGUGUUGGACAGUUUAAAUUUCAAAUAGUUUUCCCAUCCAAUUGACACUUGAUAACAAUCCAAAUGUCAAACAAUGUGUCAAAAAUCAGUGUACAAAUAGCAAAGUUCAGUCGAUAAGAACUUUGCUACAUGUACACUAUGGUGUACACUUUAGUUUACACUUUGCCCCGUGACAUUACUCUAUUGGACAAUUUAAAUUUCAAACAGGUUUUCCAUACAAUUGACCCUUGACAACAAUAAAGGUGCUAAAUAACUUGUCAAAAAUCAGUGUUCAAAUAGCAAAAUUCAAUCGGUAAGGACCUUGCUACAUGUACACUAUGGUGUACACUUUAGUUUACUCUUUACCACGUGACAUUACUCUAUUGCUCAUUUUAAGUUUCAAAUGGUUUUCCCAUCCAAUUGAUACUUAACAACAAUGCAAUUGUCAAACAGCGUGACAAAAAUAUGUGUACAAAUAGAAAAGUUCAGUCGACAAGAACCUUGCUACAUGUACACUAUGGUCCACUUUAAUUUACACUUUGCCACGUGACAUUACCCUAUUGGACAGUUUAAAUUGCAAGCAGUUUUUCCAUCCAAUUGACACUUGACAACAACAAUGCAAGUGUAAAAGGUGUCAAAAAUCAAUUUACAAAUAGCAAAGUUCAAUAGGCAAGAACCUUGCGACAUGUAUACUACGGUGUACACUUUGGAUUACAAUUUUCCAUGCGACACUACGCUGCUGGAUAGUUUAAAUUUCAAAACAAUUUUCUUAUCUAAUUAACACUUGACAACAAUGCAAGUGUCAAACAACGUGUCAAAAAUCAGUGUACAAAUAGUAAAGUUCAAUCGGUAAGAACCUUGCUACAUGUACACUAUGGUACAGACUUUAAUUUUACACCUUGCCACGUGACAUUAUCCUGUUGGACAUUUUAAAUUUCAAGCAAAUUUCCCAUCCAAUUGGCACUUGCAACAGUGCAAGUGUCAAACAUCGUGUCAAAAAUCUGUGUACAAAUAGCACAGUUCAAUCGGUAAGAACCUUGCUACAUAUACACUAUGGUACACUUUAAUUUCCACUUUGCCACAAGACAUUACUCUGUUAGACAGCUUAAAUUUCAAAUCGUUUUCCCAUCCAAUUGACACUUGACAACAAUGCGAGUGUCAAAGGUGUCAUAAAUCAGUUUACAAAUAGCAAAGUUCAAUCGGUAAGAAUCUUGCUACUUGUACCCUAUGGUGUACACUUUAGUUUACACUUUGCCCCGUGACAUAACUCUAUUGGAGAAUUUAAAUUUCAAACAAUUUUUUCAUCCAAUUGACACUUGACAACAAUACAAGUGUCAAACAACGUGUCAAAAAUUAGUGUACAAAUAGCAAAAUUCAAUCGGUAAGGACCUUGCUACAUGUACACUAUGCUAUACACUUUAGUUUACACUUUGCCAGGUGUCAUUACCCUAUUUCAAAUAGUUUUCCCAUUCAAUUGACACUUGACAAUAAUGUAAACGUCGAACAAUGUGUCAAAAAUCAGUGUACAAAUAGCAAAGUUCAAUCGGUAAGGACCUUGCUACAUGUACACUAUGGCGUACACUUUAGGUUACACUUUGCCAAGUGUUAUUACUAUGUUGGACAGUUUAAAUUUCAAACAGUUUUUUCCGUCCAAUUGACACUUGACAACAAUCCAAAUGUCAAACAAUGUGUCAAAAAUCAGUGUACAAAUAGCAAAGUUCAAUCGGUAAGAACCUUGCUACAUGUACACUAUGGUGUACACUUUAGUUUACACUUUGCCCCGUGACAUUACUCUACUGGACAACUUAAAUUUCAAACAAUUUUUCCAUACAAUUAAGCGUUGACAACAAUAAAGGUGUCAAAUAACAUGUUGGAAAUCAAUGUACAAAUAACAAAGUACAAUCGGUAAGGACUUUAGUUUACACUUUUCCAUAUGACGUCACCCUACUGGAGAGUUAAAAUUUAAAAACGUUUUCCCAAACAAUUGACACUUGACAACCGUACAAGUGUCAAACAACGUGUUAAAAAUCAGUGUACAAGUAGCAAAGUUCAAUCGGUAAGGACCUUGCUACAUGAACUCUAUGGUGUACACUUCAGUUUGCACUUUGCCACGUGACAUUACCCUGUUCGACAGUUUAAAUUUCAAACAAUUUUCCCAUCUAAUUGACACUUGACGACAAUGCAAAUGUCAAACGAAGUGUUAAAAAUCAGUGUACGAAUAGCAAAGUUCAAUCGGUAAGAACUUUGCUACAAGUACACUAUGGUGUUCACAUAGCAAGGUUCAUACAGUUUCAAUUUAUCCAUCCAAUUGACACCUGACAACGAUGCAAGUGUCAAACAACGUGUGAAAAAUUGGUGUACAAAUAGCAAAGUUCAAUCGGUAAGGACUUUGCCACAUGUACACUAUGGUAUACACUUUAGUUUACACUUUGCAACGUAAUAUUACCCUGUUGGAUAGUUUAAAUUUCAAAUAGUUUUCACUUCCAAUUGACACUUGGCAACAAUGCAAGUGUCAAAGAAGGUGUCAAAAAUCAGUGGAUAAAUAGCAAUGUUCAAUCGGUAAGGACCUUGCUACAUGUACACUAUGGUGUACAAUUUAGUUUACUCUUUUCCACGUGACUUUACCCUAUUGGACAGUUUAAAUUUCAAAAAGUUUUUCCAUCCAAUCGACACUUGACAACAAUGCUAGUGUCAAACAACGUGUACAAAUAGCAAAGUUUAAUCGAUCUGAACCUUGCUAUAUGUACACUAUGGUGUACAAACUUUAGUUUACACAAUGCCCCGUGACAUUACCAUGCCGAAAAGUUUAAAUUUUAAACAAUUUUUCUAUCAAAUUGACACCUGACAACAAUGCAAGUUUCAAACAAUGUGUCAAACAUUAGUGUACAAAUUGCAAAGUUCAAUCGAUAAGGACCUUGCUAUAUGUACACUAUGGUGUACAAUUUAGUUUACACUUUGUCACGUGACAUUACCCUAUUGGAUAGUUUAAAUUUCAAAUAAUUUUCCCAUCCAAUUGACACUUGACAACAAUGCAAGUGUCAAACAACGUGCAAAAAUCAGUUUAAAAAUAGCAAAGUUCAAUCGGUAUGAACCGUUCUAUGGGUACACUAUGGUCUAUACUUUAGUUUACUCUUUGCCACGUGACAUUACCCUGUCGAACAUUUUAAAUUUCAAACAGUUUUCCCAUCCACUUGACAGUUGACAACAAUGCAAGUGUCAAACAACAUGUAAAAAUUCAGUGUAUAAAUAGCAAAGCUCAAUUGUCAAGAACGUUGCAAUAUGUACACGAUAGUGUAUACACUUUAGUUUACACUUGACAACUUGACAUUACCCUACUGGACAAUUUAAAUUUCAAACAGUUUUUCCAUCAAAUUGACACUUGACAACAAUGCAGUGUCAAACAACAUGUCAAAAAUCAGUGCACAAAUAGCACAGUUCAAUCGGUAAGGACCUUGCUACAUGUACACUAUGGUGUACACUUUAGUUUACACUUUCCCACAAGACAUUACCCUACUGGAUAGUAUAAAUUUCAAACAAUUUUCCCAUCUAAUUGAUACUCGACAACAAUGCAAGUGUCAAACAACCUGUGAAAAAUCUGUGUACGAAUAGCAAAGUUCAAUCGGUAAAAACCUUGCUACAUGUACACUAUGGUGCACACUUUAGUUUACACUUUGCCACGUGACAUUACCCUGUUGGACAAUUUAAAUUUCAAACAAUUUUCCCAUCCAAUGGACACUUGACAACAAUGCAAGUGCCAAACAACAUAUCAAAAAUCAGUUUACCAAUAGCAAAGUUCAAUCGGUAUGAACCAUGCUACAGGUACGCUAUGGUGUACACUUUAGUUUACACUUUGUCAAGUGACGUAUGAAGAGCAAAAUUCAAUCGGCAAGAACCUUGCUAUAUGUACACUAUGGCAUACACACUUUAGUGUACACUUUACCACUUGACAUUAUCCUGCUGGGCAAUUUAAAUUUCAAACAGUUUUUCCAUCAAAUUGACACUUGACAACAAUGCAAGUGUCAAACAACGUGUCCAAAAUCAGUGCAAAGUUCAAUCGGUAAGGAACUUGCCACAUGUACACUAUAGUUUACACUUUCCCACGUGACAUUACUCUGUUGGGUAGUUUAAAUUUCAAAAAUGUUUUCCCAUUCAAUUGACACUUGAAAACAAUGUAAGUGUCAAACAACGUGUCAAAAAUUAGUGUACAAAUAAUAAAGUUCAAUCGGUAAGGACCUUGCUACAUGUACACUAUGGUGUACACUUUAGUUUACUCUUUGCCAUGUGAUAUUAUCCUGUUGGAUAGUUUAAAUUUCAGACAGCUUUCCCUUCCAAUUGACACUUGACAACAAUGACAAUGUCAAACAUCAUGUCAAAAAUAAGUUUACAAAUAGCAAAUUUCAAUCGGUACGAACCAUGCUACAGGUACACUUUGAUGCACACUUUAGUUCACUCUUUGCCAUGUCACAUUACCCUGCUGGACAAUUUAAAUUUGAAAUAGUUUUCCCAUCCAAUUGAAACUCGACAACAAUGUAAGUGUCAAACAACGUGUCAAAAAUCAGCGUAUGAAUAGCAAAAUUCAAUUCGUAAGAACCUUGCUAUAUGUACACUAUGGUGUACACACUUUAGUUUACACUUUGCCACUUGACAUUACCCUGCUGGACAAUUUAAAUUUCAAACAGUUUUCCAUCAAAUUGACACUUGACAACAAUUCAAGUAUCAAACAAUGUGUCAAAAAUCAUUGCAUGAAUAGCAAAGUUCAAUAGGUAAGUACCUCGCUACAUGUACACUAUGGUGUAUACUUCAGUUUACACUUUGCCACAUGACAUUACCCUAUUGGACAGUUUAAAUUUCAAAUAGUUUUCCCAUCCAAUUGACACUUGGCAAUAGUGCAAGUGUCAAACAACGUGUCAAAAAUCAGUUUACAAAUAGCAAAGUUCAAUCGGUAAGGACCUUGCUAUAUGUACACUGUGGUAUAUACUUUAGUUUACUCUUUUCCACGUAACUUCACUAUUGGACAGUUUAAAUUUCAAAAAGUUUUCCCAUCCAAUUGAAACUUAACAACAAUGCAAGUGUCAAACAACAUGUAAAAAUUCAGUGUAUAAAUAGCAAAGUUCAAUUGUCAAAAACCUUGCUAUAUGUGCACGAUGGUGUACAUACAUUAGUUUACACCUUGCCACUUGACAUUACCCUGCUGGACUAUUUAAAUUUCAAACAGUUUUUCCAUCAAAUUAACACUUGACAACAAUGCAAGUGUCAAACAACCUGUCAAAAAUAAGUGCACAAAUUGAAAAGUUCAAUUGGUAAGGACCUUGUUACGCGUACACUAUGGUGUACACUUUAGUUUACACUUUGCCACAAGACAUUACCUUGCUGGACAGUAUAAAUUUCAAAAAGUUUUCCCAUCUAAUUGAUACUCAGCAACAAUACAAGUGUCAAACAACCUAUGAAAAAUCAGUGUACAAAUAGCAAAGUUCAAUCGAUAAGAACUUUGCAACAUGUACACUAUGGUGUACAUUUUAGUUUACACUUUGUCACGCGACAUUACCCUGUUGGACAGUUUAAAUUUCAAACAGUUUUUGGGUCCAAUUGACACUUGACAACAAUGCAAGUACCAAACAACAUGUCAAAAAUCAGUUUACAAAUAGCAAAGUUCAAUCGAUAUGAACCAUGCUACAGGUACAUUAUGGUGUGCACUUUAGUUUACACUUUGCCACAUGAUGUUUUCAUGUUGGACAGUUUAAAUUUUAAACAGUUUUUCCAUCCAAUUUACACUUCACAACAAUGCAAGUAUCGAACAACGUGUCAAAAAUCAGCAUAUGAAGAGCAAAAUUCAAUUGGCAAGAACCUUGCUAUAUGUACACUAUGGUGUACACACUUUAGCUUACACAUUGCCACUUGACAUUACCCUACUGGACAAUUUAAAUUUCAAACAGUUUUUCCAUCAAAUUGACACUUGAUAACAAUGCAAGUGUCAAGCAACGUGUCAAAAAUCAGUGCAAAAACAGCAAAGUUCAAUCGGUAAGGAACUUGCCACAUGUACACUAUGGUGUACACUAUAGUUUACACUUUCUGAUGUGACAUUAUCCUGUUGGAUAGUUUAAAUUUCAAAAAGUUUUCCCAUCCAAUUGAUACUUGACAACAAUGCAAGUGUCAAACAACGUGUCAAAAAUCAGUGUACAAAUAAUAAAGUUCAAUCGGUAAGGACCUUACUACAUGUACACUAUGGUGUACACUUUAGUUUACUCUUUGCCAUGUGACAUUACCCUAUUGGAUAGUUUUAAUUUCAAAUAGCUUUCCCUUCCAAUUGACUCUUGACGACAACGAUAGUGUCAAACAACGUGUCAAAAUAAGUUUACAAAUAGCAAAGUUCAAUCGGUACGAACCAUGCUACAGGUACACUUUGGUGCACACUUUAGUUUACUAUUUCCCAUGUGACAUUACCCUGUUGGACAGUUUAAAUUUGAAACAGUUUUCCCAUCCAAUUGAAACUCGACAACAAUGUAAGUGUCAAACAACAUGUCAAAAAUCAGCGUAUGAAUAGCAAAAUUCAAUCGGUAAGAACCUUGCUAUAUGUACACUAUGGUGUACACACUUUAGUUUACACUUUGCCACUUGACAUUACCCUGCUGAACAAUUUAAAUUUCAGACAGUUUUUCCAUCAAAUUGACACUUGACAACAAUGCAAGUGUCAAACAACGUGUUAAAAAUCAGUGCACGAACAGCAAAGUUCAAAAGGUAAGGACCCCGCUACAUGUGCACUAUGGUGUACACUUUAGUUUACACUUUGCCACGUGACAUUACCCGAUUAGACAGUUUAAAUUUCAAACAGUUUUCCCAUCCAAUUGACACUUGGCAAUAAUGUAACUGUCAAACAACGUGUCAAAAAUCAGUUUACAAAUAGCAAAGUUCAUUCGGUAAGGACCUUGCUAUAUGUACACUGUGGUGUAUACUUUAGUUUACUCUUUUCCACGUGACUUUACUAUUGGACAAUUUAAAUUUCAAAAUGUUUUCCCAUCCAAUUGACACUUAACAACAAUGCUAGUGUCAAACAAUGUGUCAAAAAUCAGUGUACAAAUAGCAAAGUUCAAUCGGUCUGAACUUGCUAUAUGUACACUAUGGUGUACAAACUUUAGUUUACACUUUGCCACGUGACAUUAUCCUGCUAGAUAGUUUAAAUUUCAAACAGUUUUUCCAUCCAAUUGACACUUGAUAACAAUGCAAGUGUCAAACAACAUGUCAAAAAUUAGUGUACAAAUAGUAAAGUUCAACCGGUAAGGACCUUGCUACAUGUACACUGUGGUGUACACUUUAGUUUACUCUUUGCCACGUGACAUUACUCUUUUGGACAGUUUAAAUUUCAAACAGUUUUCCCAUCCAAUUGACACUUGACGAUAAUGCAAGUGUCAAACAACGUGUCAAAAAUAAGUUUACAAAUAGCAAAGUUCAAUUGGUAUGAACCAUGCUACAGGUACACUAUUGUGUACACUUUAGUUUAAUCUUUGCCUUGUGACUUUACGCUAUUGGACAGUUUGAAUUUCAAAUAGUUUUUCCGUCCAAUUAACACUUGACAACAAAGCAAGUGUCAAACAACGAGUCAAAAAUUAGCGUAUGAAUAGCAAAAUUCAAUCGGUAAGAACCUUUUUAUAUGUACACUACGGUGCACACACUUUAGUUUACACUUUGCCACGUGACAUUACCCUGCUGGACACUUUAAAUUUCAAACAAUUUCUCUGAAAUUGACACUUCACAACAAUGCAAGUGUCAAACAACGUGUAAAAAAUUAGUGCACAAAUAACAAAGUUUAAUCAGUAAGGACCUUGCUACAAGUACACUAUGGUGUACACUUCAGUUUACACUUUGCCACGUGAUAGUAUCCUGUUGGACAGUUUAAAUUUCAAACAAUUUUCCCAUCCAAUUAACACUUGGCAACAAUGCAAGUGACAAACAAUGUGUCAAAAAUCAGUGUACAAAUAGCAAAGUUCAAUCGGUAAGGACCUUGCUAUAUGUACACUAUAGUGUACACUUUAGUUUACACUUUACCACAAGACAUUACUCUGCUGGACAGUUUAAAUUUCAAAUAGUUUUCCCACCUAAUUGAUACUCGACAACAAUGCAAGUGUCAAACAACGUGUGAAAAAUCUGUGUACAAAUAGCAAAGUUCAAUAGGUAAGAACCUUGCUACAUGUACACUAUGGAAUACAUAUUAGUUUACACUUUCCCACGUGCCAUUACCCUGUUGGAUAGUUUAAAUUUCAAACAGUUUUCCCAUCCAAUUGACACUUGACAACGAUGCAAGUGCCAAACAACAUGUCAAAAAUCAGUUUACAAAUAGCAAAGUUCAAUCGAUAUGAACCAUGCUACAGGUACACUAUGGUGUACACUUUAGUUUACACUUUGCCACGUGACGUUUCCACGUUGGACAGUUUAAAUUUCAAACAAUUUUUCCAUCCAAUUGACACUUCACAACCAUUCAAGUAUUAAACAACGUGUCAAAAAUUAGUGUACAAAUAGCAAAGUUAAAUCAGUAAGGACCUUCCUACAUGGACACUAUGGUGUAUACUUUAGUUUACACUUUGUGACGUGACAUUAUCCUAUUGGACAGUUUAAAUUUCAAACAGCUUUCCCGUCCGAUUGACCCUUGACAACAAUGCGAGUGUCAAACAAUGAGUCCAAAAUCAAUGUACAAACAGCAAAGUUCAAUCGCUAAGGAACUUGCCACAUGUACACUAUGGUGUACACUAUAGUUUAUACUUUGCCACGUGACAUUACCCUGUUGGAAAGUCUAAAUUUCAAAAAGUCUUCCCAUCCAAUUGACACUUGACAACAAUACAAGUGUCAAAGAACAUGUCGAAAAUCAAUGUACAAAUAGCAAAUUUCAAUCGGUAAGGACCUUGCCACAUGUACACUAUGGUGUACACUUUAAUUUAAACUUUUCCACGUGACGUAACCCUGCUGAACAAUUUAAAUUUUAAACAGUUUUCCCACACAAUUGACACUUGACACUUGACAACAAUGCAAGUGUCGAACAACGUUUCAGAAAUUAGUGUACAAAUAGCAAAGUUCAAUUGGUAAGGACCUUGCGACAUGUACAUUAUGGUGUACACUUUAGUUUACACUUUGCCACGUGACAUUAUCCUGUUGGAUAGUUUAAAUUUGAAAUCGUUUUACAAUCCAAUUGGCACGUGACAACGAUGUAGGUAUCAACAAACGUGUCAAAAAUCAGUGUACAAGUAGCAAAGAUUAAUCGAUAAGAACCUCGCUAAAUGUAUACUAGGGUUGUACACUUUAAUUUACACUUUGCCACGUGACAUUACCCUGUUGGACAGUUUAAAUUUCAAACAGUUUUUCACUCCAAUUGACACUUGACAACAAUGCAAGUGUCAAACAACGUAUCAAAAACCAGUGUACAAAUAGCAAAGUUCAAUCGGUAAAGACAUUGCUACAUGUACACUAUGGAAUACACUUUAGUUUACACUUUCCCACGUGACAUUACCCUGUUGGACAAUUUAAAUUUCAAACAAUUUUUCCAUCCAAUUGACACUUUACAAAUAGCAAAGUUCAAUCGAUAUGAACCAUGCUACAGGUACACUAUGGUGUACACUUUAGUUUACACUUUGCCACGUGACGUUUCCAUGUUGGACAGUUUAAAUUUCAAACAGUUUUUCCAUCCAAUUGACACUUCACAACCAUUCAAGUGUUAAACAACGUGUCAAAAAUUAGUGUACAAAUAGCAAUGUUAAAUCAGUAAGGACCUUCCUACAUGGACACUAUGGUGUAUACUUUAGUUUACACUUUGCGACGUGACAUUACCCUCUUGGACAGUUUAAAUUUCAAACAGCUUUCCCAUUCGAUUGACCCUUGACGACAACACAAGUGUCAAAUAAUGAGUCCAAAAUCAGUGUACAAACAGCAAAGUUCAAUCGGUAAGGAACUUGCCACAUGUACACUAUGGUGUACACUAUAGUUUACACUUUGCCACGUGACAUUAUCCUGUUGGACAGUCUAAAUUUCAAAAAGUCUUCCCAUCCAAUUGACACUUGACAACAAUGCAAGUGUCAAACAACGUGUCGAAAAUCAAUGUACAAAUAGCAAAUUUCAAUCGGUAAGGACCUUGCCACAUGUACACUAUGGUGUACACUUUAGUUUACACUUUUCCACGUGACGUAACCCUAUUGCACAAUUCAAAUUUUAAACAGUUUUCCCACCCAAUUGACACAGGACAACAAUGCAAGUGUCGAACAACGUUUCAGAAAUCAUUGUACAAAUAGCAAAGUUCAAUUGGUAAGGACCUUGCUACAUGUACAUUACGGUGUACACUGCAGUUUACACUUUGCCACGUGACAUUACCCUGUUGAAUAGUUUAAAUUUGAAAUAGUUUUACAAUCCAAUUGACACGUGACAAUGAUGUAGGUAUCAAUAAACGUGUCAAAAAUUAGUGUACAAAUAGCAAAGAUUAAUUGACAAGAACCUCGCUAAAUGUACACUAUGGUGUACGUUUUAAUUUACACUUUGCCACGUGACAUUACCCUAUUGGACAGUUUAAAUUUCAAACAGUUUUUCCCUCCAAUUGACACUUGACAACAAUGCAAGUGUCAAACAACGUGUCAAAAAUCAGUGUACAAGUAGCAAAGUUCAAUCGAUAAAGACUUUGCUACAUGUACACAAUGGCAUACACUUUAGUUUACACUUUGCAAUGUAAAAUUACCCUGUUGGACAGUUUGAAUUUCAAAUUGUUUUCCCAUCCAAUUGACACUUGGCAAGAAUGCAAGUAUCAAAAAUCAGUGCACAAAGACCAAAGUUCAAUAGGUAAGGACCUUGCUAUAUGUUCACUAUGGUGUACACUUUAGUUUACUCUUUUCCAUGUGACUUUACCCUAUUGGACAGUAUAAAUUUCAAAAAGUUUUUCCAUCCAAUUGACACUUGACAACAAUGCUAGUGUCAAACAAUGUGUCAAAAAUCAAUGUACAAAUAGUAAAGUUCAAUCAGUCUGAACCUUGCCAUAUGUACACUAUAGCAUACACACUUUAGUUUACACUUUGCCACGUGACAUUACCCUGCUGGACAGUUUAAAUUUCAAACAAUUUUUUUUAUCAAAUUGACACUUGACAACAAUGCAAGUGUCAAAUAAUGUGUCAAAAAUUAGUGUACAAAUAGCAAAGUUCAAUCAGUAAGGACCUUGCUACACGUACACUACGGAGUACACUUUAAUUUACACUUUGCCUCGUGACAUUACCCUGUUGGACAGUUUAAAUUUCAAAUAGUUUUCCCAUCCAAUUAACACUUGACAACAAUGCAAGUGUCAAAAAAUGUAUCAAAAAUCAGUUUGCAAAUAGCAAUGUUCAAUCGGUAUGAACCAUGCUACAGGUACACUAUAGUGUACAGUUUAGUUUACACUUUGCCACGUGACAUUACCCUGUUGGACAGUUUAAAUUUCAAACAGUUUUCCCAUCCAAUUGACAAUUGACAACAAUGCAAGUGUUAAACAACGUGUUAAAAAUCAGUGUGUAAAUUGUAAAGUUCAAUUGGCAAGAACCUUACUAUAUCUACACGAUGGUGUACAUACUUUAGUUUACAGUUUGCCAGAUGACAUUACCCUGCUAGACAAUUAAAUUUCAAACAACUUUUCCAUCAAAUUGACACUUGACAACAAUGCAAGUGUCAAACAACGUGUCAAAAAUCAGUUCACAAAUAGCAAAGUUCAAUCGGUAAGGUCCUUGCUACAUGUACGCUAUGGUGUGCACUUCAGUUUACACUUUGCCACGUGACAUUACCCGGCUGGACAGUUUAAAUUUCAAAUAAUUUUCCCAUCCAAUUGACACUUGGUAACAAUACAAUUGCCAAACUUCGUGUCAAAAACCAGUGUACAAAUAGAAAAGUUCAAUCGGUAAGGACCUUGUUACAUGUGCACUAUGGUGUACACUUUAGUUUACUCUUUUCCACGUGACUUUACCCUAUUGGAUAGUUUAAAUUUCAAAAAGUUUUCGCAUCCAAUUGACAUUUGACAACAAUGCUAGUGUCAAACAAUGUGUCAAAAAUCACUAUACAAAUAGCAAAGUUCAAUCGGUCUGAACCAUGCUAUAUGUACACUAUUGUAUACACACUUUACUUUACACUUUUCCACGUGACAUUACCCUUCUUGACAGUUUAAAUUUCAAACAAUUUUUCUAUCAAAUUGACACAUGAGAAAAUGCAAGUGUUAAAUAACGUGUCAAAAAUCAGUGUACAAAUAGCAAAGUUCAAUCGGUAAGGACCUUGCUACAUGUACACUACGGUGUACACUUUAGUUUACACUUUGCCUCGUAACAUUACCCUAUUGGACAGUUUAAAUUUCAAACAGUUUUCUCGUCCAAUUGACACUUGACAACAAUUCAAGUGUCAAAUAAUAUAUCAAAACUCAGUUUACAAAUAGCAAAGUUCAAUCGGUAUGAACCAUGCUACAGGUACACUAUGGUGUACAGUUUAGUUUACACUUUGCCUCGUAACAUUACCCUAUUGGAUAGUUUAAAUUUCAAACAGUUUUCUCAUCCAAUUGACACUUGACAACAAUUCAAGUGUCAAACAGUGUAUCAAAAAUUAGUUUGCAAAUAGCAAAGUUCAAUCGGUAUGAACCAUGCUACAGGUACACUAUGGUGUACAGUUUAGUUUACACUUUGCCACGUGACAUUACCCUGUUGGACAGUUUAAAUUUCAAACAGUUUUCCCAUCCAAUUGACAAUUGACAACAAUGCAAGUGUUAAACAACGUGUCAAAAACUAGUGUAUAAGUUGCAACGUUCAAUUCGCGAGAACCUUACUAUAUGUAUACGAUUGUGUACAUACUUUAGUUUACACUUUGCCAGAUGACAUUACCCUGCCAGAGAAUAAAAUUUCGAACAGUUUUUCCAUCAAAUUGACACUUGACAACAAUGCAAGUGUCAAACAACGUGUCAAAAAUUAGUUCACAAAUAGCAAAGUUCAAUCGGUAAGGACCUUGCUACAUGUACGCUAUGGUGUACACUUCAGUUUACACUUUGCCACGUGACAUUACCAUGCUGGACAGUUUAAAUUUCAAAUAAUUUUCCCAUCCAAUUGACACUUGGUAACAAUGCAAGUGUCAAACUUCGUGUCAAAAAUCAGUGUACAAAUGGAAAAUUUCAAUCGGUAAGGACCUUGCUACGUGUGCAUUAUGGUGGACACUUUAGUUUACUCUUCUCGACGUGACUUUACCCUAUUGGAUAGUUUAAAUUUCAAAAAAUUUUCCCAUCCAAUUGGUACUGGACAACAAUGCUGGUGUCAAACAACGUGUCAAAAAUCAAUGUACAAAUAGCAAAGUUCAAUCGGUCUGAACCUUGCUAUAUGUACACUAUGAUAUACACACUUUAGUCUACACUUUGCCACGUGACAUUACCCUUCUGGACAGUUUAAAUUUCAAACAAUUUUUCUAUCAAAUUGACACAUGACAAAAUGCAAGUGUUAAAUAACGUGCCAAAAAUCAGUGAACAAAUAGCAAAGUUCAAUCGGUAAGGACCUUGCCACACGUACACUACGGAGUACACUUUAGUUUACACUUUGCCUCAUAACAUUACUCUAUUAGACAGUUUAAAUUUCAAACAGUUUUCUCAUCCAAUUGACACUUGACAACAAUGCAAGUGUCAAACAAUGUAUCAAAAAUCAGUUUACAAAUAGCAAAAUUCAAUCGGUAUGAACCACGCUACAGGUACACUAUGGUGUACAGUUUAGUUUACACUUUGCCACGUGACAUUACCCUGUUGGACAGUUUAGAUUUCAAACAGUUUUUCCAUCCAAUUGAUAGUUGACAACAAUGCAAGUGUUAAACAACGUGUCAAAAACCAGUGUACAAAUCGCAACGUUCAAUUCGCGAGAACCUUACUAUAUGGACAUGAUGGUAUACAUACUAUAGUUUACACUUUGCCAUAUGACAUUACCCUGCCAGACAAUUAAAUUUCAAACAAUUUUUCCAUCAAAUUGACACUUAACAACAAUACAAGCGUUAAACAACGUGUCAAAAAUCAGUGCACAAAUAGCAAAGUUCAAUUGGUAAGGACCUUGCAACAUGUACACUAUGGUGUACACUUUAGUUUACACUUUGCCACGUGACAUUACCCUCACAUGACAUUACCUUGCCGGAUAGUUUAAAUUUCAAACAGUUUUGUCCAUCCAAUUGACACUUGACAACAAUGCAAGUGUCAAACAAUGUGUCAAAACUCAGUGUACAAAUAGCAAAGUUCAAUCGGUAAGGACCUUGCUACAUGAACACUAUGGUGUACACUUUAGUUUACACGUUCCCACGUAACAUUGCCCUGUUGGACAGUUUAAAUUUCAAACAGCUUUACCGUCCGAUUGACACUUGACAACAAUGCGAGUGUCAAACAACGUGUCAAAAAUCAAUGUACAAACAGCAAAGUUCAGUCGGUAAGGAACUUGUCACAUGUACACUAUGGUAUACACUAUAGUUUACACUUUGCCACAUGACAUUACCCUGUUGAACAGCUUAAAUUUUAAAAAGUUUUCCCAUCCAAUUGACACUUGACAACAAUGCAGGAAUCAAACAACGUGUCGAAAAUCAACGCACAAAUAGCAAAUUUCAAUCAGUAAGGACCUUGCCACAUGUACACUAUGGUGAACACUUUAGUUUACACUUUGCCACAAGACAUUACCCUGCUGGACAGUUUAAAUUUUAGAUAGCUUUUCCACCCAAUUGACACUUGACCACAAUGCAAAUGUCGAACAACGAGUCAAAAAUCAGUGUACAAAUAGCAAAGUUCAAUUGGUAAGAACCUUGCUAAAUGUACACUUUGAUGUACACACUUUAGUUUAUACUUUGCCACGUGACAUUACCCUGGUGGACAGUUUAAUUUUAAAACAAUUUUUCUAUCAAAUUGACACUUGACAACAAUGCAAGUGUCAAACAAUGUGUCAAAAAUCAAUGUACAAAUAACAAAGUUCAAUCAGUAAGGACCUUGCUACACGUACAUUAUGGUGUACACUUUAGUUUACACUUUGCCUUGUGACAUUACCCUGUUGGACAGUUUAAAUUCCAAAUAGUUUUCCCAUCCAAUUGACACUUAAAAACAAUGCAAGUGUCAAACAAUGUGUCAAAAAUCAAUUUACAAGUCACAAAGUUCAAUCGGUAUGAACAAUGCUACAGGUACAUUAUGGUAUAUAUUUUAGUUUACUCUUCGCCACGCAGUUUAAAUUUGAAAUAGUUUUCCCAUCUAAUUGACAGUUGACAACAAUGCAAGUGUUAAACAACGUGUUAAAAAUCAGUGUGUAAAUUGUAAAGUUCAAUUGGCAAGAACCUUACUAUAUCUACACGAUGGUGUACAUACUUUAGUUUACAGUUUGCCAGAUGACAUUACCCUGCUAGACAAUUAAAUUUCAAACAACUUUUCCAUCAAAUUGACACUUGACUACAAUGCAAAGGUCAAACAAUGUGUCAAAAUUCAAUACACAAAUAGCAAAGUUCAAUUGGUAAGAACCUUGGUACAUGUACACUAUGGUGUAUACUUCAGUUUACACUUUAUCAUGUGACAUUAUCCUACUGUACAGUUUAAAUUUCAAACAGUUUUCCCAUCCAAUUGACACUUGGUAACAAUGCAAAUGUCAAACUACGUGUCAAAAAUCAGUAUACAAAUGGCAAAGUUGAAUCUGUAAGGACCUUGAUACAUGGACACUAUGGUGUACACUUUAGUUUACACUUUGCCAUAUGACAUUACCCUGUUGGGUAGUUUAAACUUCAAACAGUUUUCACGUUCGAUUGACCAUUGACAACAAUGUGAGUGUCAAACAAUGUGUCUAAAAUUAGUGUACAAAUAGCAAAAUUCAAUCGGUAAGGAACUUGCCACAUGUACACUAUGGUGUACACUAGAGUUUACAGUUUCCCACGUGACAUUACCCUGUUGCAUAGUUUAAAUUUCAAAAAGUCUUCCCAUCCAAGACAACAAUGCAAGUGUCAAACAACGUGUCAAAAAUCAUUGUACAAAUAGCAAAUCUCGAUCGGUAAGGACCUUGUCACAUGUACACUAUGGUGUACACUUUAGUUUACAAUUUGCCACGUGACGUAACCCUGUUGCAUACUUUAAAUUUUAAACAGUUUUCCCACCCAAUUGAUACUUGACAACAAUGCAAGUAUGGAACAACGUGUAAAAAAUCAGUGUACAAAUAGCAAAGUUCAAUUGGUAAGGACCUUGCUACAUGUACAUUAUGGUGUACACUUUAGUUUACACUAUGUCACGUGACAUUACCAUGUUGGACAGUUUAAAUUUAAAAUAGUUUUACAAUCCAAUUGACACGUGACAAUGAUGUAGGUAUCAAUCAACGUGUCAAAAAUCAGUGUACAAAUAGCAAAGAUUAAUCGGUAAGAACCUUGCUAAAUGUACACUAUAGUGUACACUUUAAUUUACACUUUGCCACAUGACAUUACCCUACUGGACAGUUUAAUUCUAAAAUAAUUUUUCUAUCAAAUUGACACUUGAAAACAAUGCAAGUGUCAAACAAUGUGUCAAAAAUCACUGUACAAAUAGCAAAGUUCAAUCGGUAAGGACCUUGCUACACGUACACCACGGUGUACACUUUAAUUUACACUUUACUUUAUGACAUUACCCUGUUGGAUAGUUUAAAUUUCAAACAGUUUUCCCAUCUAAUUGACACUUGAAAACAAUGCAAGCGUCAAACAAUGUGUCAAAAAUCAGUUUACAAAUCGCAAAGUUCAAUCGGUUUGAACAAUGCUACAGGUACACUAUGGUGUACACUUUAGUUUACUCUUUGCUACGUGACAUUACCCUGUUGGACAGUUUAAAUUUGAAACAAUUUUCGCAUCCAAUUGAUAGUUGGCAACAAUGCAAGUGUUAAACAAUGUGUUAAAAAUCAGUGUAUAAAUUACGAAGUUGAAUUGGCAAUAACCUUACUAUAUGUACACGAUGGUGUACAUACUUUAGUUUACACUUUGCUAGAUGACAUUACCCUGCUAGACAAUUAAAUUUCAAACAAUUUUUCCAUCAAAUUGACACUUGACUACAAUGUAAGGGUCAAAAAACAUGUCAAAAAUCAGUACACAAAUAGCGAAGUUCAAUCGGUAAGGACCUUGCUACAUGUACACUAUGUGUAUACUUCAGUUUACACUUUGUCACGUGACAUUACCUUGCUGUACAGUUUAAAUUUCAAAUAGUUUUCCCAUCCAAUUGACAUUGGGAACAAUGCAAGUGUCAAUCUACGUGUCAAAAAUCAGUAUACAAAUCACAAAGUUGAAUCUGUAAGGACCUUGCUACAUGGACACUAUGGUGUACACUUUAGUUUACACUUUGCCACGUGACAUUACCCUAUUGGACAGUUUAAACUUCAAACAAUUUUCCCGUCCGAUUGACCAUUGACAACAACGCGAGUGUCAAACAAUGUGUCCAAAAUCAGUGUACAAACAGCAAAGUUCAAUCGGUAAGGAACUUGCCACAUGUACACUAUGGUGUACACUAUAGUUUACACUUUCCCACGUGACCUUACCCUGUUGCACAGUUUAAAUUUCAAAAAGUCUUCCCAUCCAAUUGACACUUGACAACAAUGCAAGUGUCAAACAACGUGUCGAAAAUCAGUGUACAGAUAGCAAAUUUCAAUCGGCAAGGACCUUGUCACAUGUACACUAUGGUGUACACUUUAGUUUACAAUUUGCCACACGACAUUACCAUGUUGGACAGUUUAAAUUUCAAAAAGCUUUACCGUCCUAUUGACAAUUGAUAACAACGUGAGUGUCAAACAACGUGUCAAAAAUCAAUAUACAAAUAACAAAGUUCAAUCGAAAAGAACCUUGCUUCAUGCACACUAUGGUGUACACUUUAGAUCACACUUUGCCAUGUGACAUUACCCUUUUGGACAGCUUAAAUUUCAAACAGUUUUCCCAUCCAAUUGACACUUGACAACAAUACUAGCGUCAAACAACGUGUCAAAAAUCAGUGAACAAAAAGCAAAGCUCAAUCAGUCUGAACCUUGCUAUCUGUACACUAUGGUGUACACACUUUAGUUUACACUUUGCCACGUGACAUUACCCUGCCGGAUAGUUUAAAUUUCAAAUAGUUUUUCCAUCCAAUUGACACUUGAUAACAACGCAAGUGUCAAACAAUGUGUCAAAAAUCAGUGUACAAAUAGCAAAGUUCAAUCGGUAAGGACCUUGCUACAUGUACACUAUGGUGUACACUUCAGUUUACACUUUGCCAUGGGACAUUACCCUACUGGACAGUUUAAAUUUCAAAUAGUUUUCCCAUCCAAUUGACACUUGGCAACAAUGCAUGUGUCAAACUACGUGUCAAAAAUCAGUGUACAAAUGGCAAAGUUCGGCCGGUAAAGACCUUGCUACAUGUACACUAUGGUGUAAACUUUAGUUUACUCUUUUCCAUGUGACUUUAUCCUAUUUGACAGUUUAAAUUUCAAAAAGUGUUUCCCAUCCAAUUGGCACUUGACAUUACCCUGUUGGACAGUGUAAAUUUCAUUCAGUUUUCCCAUCUAAUUGAUACUCGACAACAAUGCAAGUGUCAAACAACGUGUGAAAAAUCUGUGUACAAAAAGUAAAGUUCAAUUGGUAAGAACCUUGCUACAUGUAUACUUUAGUUUACAGUUUCGCACGUGACAUUACCCUGUUGGACAGUUUAAAUUUCAAACAAAUUUUUCGUCCGAUGGACACUUGACAACAAUGCAAGUGCCAAACAACAAGUUAAAAAACAGUUUACAAAUAGCAAAGUUCAAUCGGUAUGAACCACGCUACAAGUACACUAUGGUGCACACUUUAGUUUACACUUUGCCACGUGACGUUUUCAUGUAGGAAAGUUUAAAUUUCAAACAAUUUUUCCAUCCAAUUGACACUUAACAACAAUGCAAGUGUCAAACAAUGUGUUAAAAAUCAGUUUACCAAUAGCAAAGUUGAAUCGAUAUGAACCAUGCUACAAGUACACUAUGGUGUACACUUUAGUUUACACUUUGCCAUGUGACAUUACCCUGUUGGACAGUUUAAAUUUCAAACAAUUUUCCAAUCAAAUUGACAGUUGACAACAAUGCAAGUGUUAAACUACGUGUCAAAACCAGUGUAUAAAUUACAACGCUCAAUUCGCAAGAACCUUACUAUAUGUACACGAUGGUGUACACACUUUAGUUUACACUUUGCCAGAUGACUUUACCCUGCUAGACAAUUAAAUUUCAAACAAUUUUUCCAUCAAAUUGACACUUGACAACUAUGCAAGUGCCAAACAACGUGUCAAAAAUUAGUGCACAAAUAGCAAAGUUCAAUCGAUAAGGAACUUCCUACAUGUACACUUCAGUUUACACUUUGCCACGUGACAUUACCCUGUUGGACAGUUUAAAUUUCAAACAGUUUUUCCAUCCAAUUGACACUUGGCCACAAUGCAAAUGUCAAACUACGUGCCAAAAAUUAGUGUACAAAUAGCAAAGUUCAAUCGUUAAGGACCUUGUUACAUGUACCCUAUGGUGUACACUUUAGUUUACUCUUUUCCACGUGACUUUACCCUAUUGGAUAGUUUAAAUUUCAAAAAAAUUUCCCAUCCAAUUGACACUUGACAACAAUGCUAGUGUCAAACAUCGUGUCAAAAAUCAGUGUACAAAAAGCAAAGUUCAAUUGGUCUGAACCUUGCUAUAUGUACACUAUGGUGUACACACUUUAGUUUACACUUUGCCACGUGACAUUACCCUACUGGAUAGUUUAAAUUUCAAACAGUUUUUCCAUCCAAUUGACACUUGACAACAAUUUAAGUGUCAAACACCAUGUCAAAAAAUAGUGUACCAAUACCAAAGUUCAAUCGGAAAGAACCUUGAGACAUGUACACUAUGGUGUAUACUUUAGUUUAUACUUAGCCACGUGACAUUACCCUGUUGGACAGUUUGAAUUUCAAAAAGAUUUUCCAUCAAAUUGACACUUGAAACCAAUGUAUGUGUUAAACAACGUGCCGAAAAUCUGUGUACAAAUGGCAAGGAUCAAUCAGUAAGAGCCUUGCUACGUGUACACUAUGGGGUAUACUGUAGUUUACACUUUGCCACGUGACAUUACCAUGUUGGACUGUUUAAAUUUCAAAUAGUUUUCCCAUCCAAUUGACACUUGACAUUACCCUGUUGGACAAUGUAAAUUUCAUACAGUUUUCCCAUCUAACUAAUACUCGACAACAAUGUAUGUGUCAAACAACAUGUGAAAAAUCUGUGUACAAAUAGCAAAGUUUAAUCGGUAAGAACCUUGCUACGUGUACACUAUGGUGUACAAUUUAGUUUAGAGUUUGCCAUGUGACAUUACCCUGUUGGACAGUUUAAAUUUCAAACAAAUAUCCCAUCCAAUUGACACUUGACAGUGAUGCAAGUGCCAAACAAAUUGUUAAAAAUCAGUUUACAAAUAGCAAAGUUCAAUCGGUAUGAACCAUGCUACAAGUACACUAUAGUGUACACUUUAGUUUACACUUUGCCACGUGAUGGUUUGAUGUUGGAUAGUUUAAAUUUCAAACAAUUUUUCCAUCCAAUUGACACUUCACAACAAUGCAAGUGUCAAACAACGUGUCAAAAAUCAGUGUACAAAUAGCAAAAUUGAAGUGGUAAGGACCUUGUUACAUGGACAUAAUGGUGCACACUUUAUUUUACACUUUGCCACGUGACAUUACCCUAUUGGACAUUUUAAAUUUCAAAUUGUUUUACCAUCCAAUUAACGCUUGACAACAACGCAAGUGUUAAAAAACAUGUCAAAAAUCGGUGUACAAAUACCAAAAUUCAAUCGGUAAAACUUUGCUACAUGUAAAUUAUGGUGUUCACACUUUAGUUUACACUAUACUAUGUAACACUAUCCUAUUGGGAAGUUUAAAUUUCAAACAAUUUUCCCAUCCAAUUAACACUUGACAACAAUGUAAGCGUCAAACAAUGCAUCAAAAAUCAGUGUACAAAUAGCAAAGUUCAAUCGGUAAGAACCUUGUUACGUGUACACUUUAGUUUAUAGGUUGCCACGUGACAUUACCCUGUUGGAUAGUUUAAAUUUCAAACAAAUUUUCCAUCCAAUUGACACUUGACAGCAAUGCAAAUGCCAAACAAACUGUCAAAAAUCAAUUUACAAGUAGCAAAGUUCAAUCAAUAUGAACCAUGCUAUAAGUACACUAUGGUGUACACUUUAGUUUACACUUUACCACGUGAUGUUUUGAUGUUGGACAGUUUAAAUUUCAAACAGUUUUUCCAUCCAAUUGACACUUCACAACAAUGCAAGUGUCAAACAACAUGUCAAAAAUCAGUGUACAAAUAGCAAAAUUGAAUUGCUAAGGACCUUGCUACAUGGACACAAUGGUGUACACUUUAUUUUACACUUUGCCACGUGACAUUACCCUGUUGGACAGUUUAAAUUUUAAAUUGUUUUACCAUCCAAUUAACGCUUGACAACAACGCGAGUGUUAAACAACGUGUCAAAAAUCGGUGUACAAAUACCAAAAUUCAAUUGGUAAAACCUUGCUACAUGUAAAUUAUGGUGUUCACACUUUAGUUUACACUAUACCAUGUGACACUAUCAUGUUCGGAAGUUUAAAUUUCAAACAGUUUUCCCAUGCAAUUAACACUUGACAACAAUGCAAGCGUCAAACAAUGUAUCAAAAAUCAGUGUGAAAAUAGCAAAGUUCAAUUGGUAAGAACCUUGCUACGUGUACACUAUGGUGUACACUUUAGUUUAUAGUUUGCCACGUGACAUUACCCUGUUGGACAGUUUAAAUUUCAAACAAAUUUCCCAUCCAAUUGACACUUGAUAGCGAUGCUAGUGCCAAACAAAUUGUCAAAAAUCAGUUUACAAAUGGCAAAGUUCAAUCGGUAUGAACCAUGCUACAAGUACACUAUGGUGUACACUUUAGUUUACACUUUGCCACGUGACGUUUUGAUGUUGGACAAUUUAAAUUUCGAACAGUUUUUCCAUCAAAUUGACACUUCACAACAAUGCAAGUGUCAAACAACGUGUCAAAAAUCAGUGUACAAAUAGCAAAAUUGAAUCGGUAAGGACCUUGCUACAUGGACAUAAUGGUGCACACUUUAUUUUACACUUUGCCACGUGACAUUACCCUGUUGGACAGUUUAAAUUUCAAAUUGUUUUACCAUCCAAUUAAUGCUUGACAACAACGCGAGUGUUAAACAACGUGUCAAAAAUCAGUGUACAAAUAACAAAAUUCAAUCAGUAAAACCUUACUACAUGUAAAUUAUGGUGUUCACACUUUAGUUUACACUAUACCAUGUGACACUAUCCUGUUGGGAAGUUUAAAUUUUAAACAGUUUUACCAUCCAACUGACACUUGACAACAAUGCAAGCGUCAAACAAUGUAUCGAAAAUCAAUGUACAAAUAGCAAAGUUUAAUCGGUAUGAACCAUGCCACAUGUACACUAUGGUGGUGCACUUUAAUUUUCACUUGGCCACGUGACAUUACAAUGUUGCACAGUUUAAAUUUCAAAAAGCUUUUCCAUCAAAUUGACACGUGACAACAAUGCAAGGUGUUAAACAACGUGUUGAAAUUCUAUGUACAAAUGGCAAGGAUCAAUCAAUAAGAACCUUGCUAUAUGUACACUAUGGGGUACACUUUAGUUUACACUUUCCCACGUGACAUUACUCUAUUGGACUGUUUAAAUUUUAAAUAGUUUUCCCAUCUAAUUGACACUUGACAACAAUGCAAGUGUCAAACAACGUGUCAAGAAUUAGUGCACAAAUACCAAAAUUCAAUCGGAAAGAACCUUGAGACAUGUACACUAUGGUGUACACUUUAGUUUAUACUUAGCCACGUGACAUUACCCUGUUGGACAGUUUGAAUUUCAAAAAGUUUUUCCAUCUAAUUGACACUUGAAUCCAAUGUAGUUGUCAAACAAAGUGUGGAAAAUUAGUGCACAAAUGGCAAAGUUCAAUUAGUAAGAACAUUGCUACAUGUACACUAUGGGGUACACUUUAGUUUACACUUUGCCACGUGACAUUACCUUGUUGGACUGUUUAAAUUUCAAAUAUUUUUUCCAUCCAAUUGACACUCGACAACAAUUUAAGUGUCAAACACCGCAUCAAAAAUUAGUGUACAAAUACCAAAGUUCAAUCUGAAAGAACCUUGAGACAUGUACACUAUGGUGUACACUUUAGUUUAUACUUAGCCACAUGACAUUACCCUGUUGGACAGUUUGAAUUUCAAAAAGUUUUUCCAUCUAAUUGACACUUCAAACCAAUGUAUGUGUCAAACAACGUGUCAAAAAUCUGUAUACAAAUGGCAAGGAUCAAUUAGUAAGAGCCUUGCUACAUUUACACUAUGGGGUACACUUUAAUUUACACUUUGCCACGUGACAUUACCCUAUUGGACUGUUUAAAUUUCAAAUAUUUUUCCCAUCCAAUUGACACUUGACCACAAUGCAAGUGUCAAACAACGUGUCAAAAAUCAGUGUACGAAUACCAAAGUUCAAACGGAAAGAACCUUGAGACAUGUACACUAUGGUGUACACUUUAGUUUAUACUUAGCCAUGUGACAUUACCCUAUUCGACAGUUUGAAUUUCAAAAUGUUUUUCAAUCUAAUUGACACUUGAAGUCGAUGUAGGUGUCAAACAAUGUGUGGAAAAUUAGAGUACAAAUGGCAAAGUUCAAUUAGUAAGAACCUUGCUACAUGUACACUAUGGGGUACAUUUAGUUUACACUUUGCCACGUGACAUUACCCUGUUGGACUGUUUAAAUUUCAAACGGUUUUCCCAUCCAAUUGACACUUGACGACAAUGUAAAUGUCAAACACCGUGUCAAAAAUCAGUAUACAAAUAGCAAAGUUCAAUCGGUAAGGAUCUUACACUUUUGUUUACGCUUUCUCAUGAGACAUUACCCUGUUGCACAGUUUAAAUUUAAAAUAUUUUUCCCAUCCGAUUUACACUUGACAACAAUGCAAGUGUCAAAGAACAUGUCCAAAAUUAGUUUACUAAUAGCAAAGUUCAAUCGUUAAGGACCUUGCUACAUGUACACUAUAGUGUACACUUUAGUUUACACUUUGCCACGUGACAUUACCCGGUUGGACAGUUUAAAUUACAAACAAUUUUUCCAUCCAAUUGACACUUGACAACAAUGCAAGUGUCAAACAACGUGUCAAAAAUCAGUGUAAAAAUAGCAAAGUUCAAUUGGUAAGCACCUUACUACAUGGACACUAUGCUGUACACUUUAGUUUACACUUUAACACGUGACAUUACCCUGUUGGAAGUUAAAAUUUCAAACAAUUUUUCCAUCCAGUUGACACUUGACAACAAUGCAAUUGUAAAAAAUAGUGUUAAAAAUCAAUGUACAAAUAGCAAAGUUUAAUCGAUGUGAACCAUGCUACAUGUACACUAUGGUGUGCACCUUAACUUACACUUUGUCACGUGACAUUACCCUGUUGGACAGUUUGAGUUUCAAAAAGUUCUCCCAUCCAAUUGGCACUUGACAACAACGCAAGUGUCGAACAACGUGUCAAAAAUCAGUGUACAAAUAGCAAAGUUCAAUUGGUAAGCACCUUGCUACAUGGACACUAUGAAGUACACAUUAGUUUACACUUUGCCACGUGACGUUACCCUGUUGGACAGUUUAAAUUUCGAACAGUUAUCUUGUCCUAUUAACACUUGACAACAAUGCGGGUGUCAAACAACAUGGCAAAAUUCAGUGUGCAAAUAUCAAAGUUCAAUCGGUAAGAACCUUACUACACGUACACUAUGGUGUACACUUUAGAUUACACUUUGCCACGUGACAUUACCUUGUUGGACAGCUUAAUUUUCAAAUAAUUUUCCCAUCCAAUUGAUACUUGACAACAAUACCUGUGUCAAACAAUGUGUCAAAAAUCAGUGUACAAAUAGCAAAGUUCAAUCGGCAAGGACCUUGCUACAUAAACUAUGGUGUACACUUUAGUUUACACUUUGCCACGUAACAUUACUUAGCUGGACAGUUUAAAUUUUAAAUAGUUUUCCCAUCCAGUUGUCACUUGACAACAAUAUAAGUGUCAAACACGGUGUCAAAAAUUAGUGCACAAAUAGCAAAGUUCAAUCGGUUAGGAUCUUGCUACAUGUAAACAGUUGUGUACACUUUAGUUUACGCUUUACCACGUGACAUUUCCCCGUUGGAUAGUUUAAAUUUCAAACAGUUUUCCCAUCCAAUUUACACUUGACAACAAUGCAAGUGUCAAAGAACGUGUUAAAAAUCAGUGUACAAAUAGCAAAGUUCAAUCGGUAAGGACCUUGCUACAUGUACAUAUGGUGUACACUUUAGUUUACACUUUGCCACGUAACGUUACCCGGUUGGACAAUUUAAAUUUCAAACAGUUUUUCAAUCCAAUUGACAUUUGACAACAAUGCAAGUGUCAAACAACGUAUAAAAAAUCAAAGUACAAAUAGCAAAGUUCAAUAGGUAAGAACCUUGCUACAUGUACACUAUGAUGUUUACACUUUACUUUACACUUUGCCACGUGACAUUACCCUAUUGUACAAUUUAAAUUUCAAACAGUUUUCUCAUUCAAUUGACACUUGAGAAGAAUGGAACUGUCAAACAACGUGUCAAAAAUCAGUGAACAAAUAUCAAAGUUUAAACGGUGUGUACACUUUAAUUAACACUUUGCCACGUGACAUUACCCUAUUGGAUAGUUUAAAUUUCAAAAAAAAUUUCCAUCUAUUUGACAUGUGACAACAAUGCAGGUGUCAAACAACAUGUCGAAAAUCAGUGUACAAAUGGCAAAGAUCGAUCAGUAUGAACUUUGCUACUAGUACACUAUGGGGUACACUUUAGUUUACACUUUGCCACGUGACAUUACACUGUUGGACAGUUUAAAUUUCAAAUAGUUUUCUUAUUCAAUUGGCACUUGACAACAAUGCAAGUGUCAAACAACGUGUCAAAAAUCAGUGUACAAAUAGCAAAGUUCAAUCAGCAAGAACGUUGCUACAUGUACAUUAUGGUGUACACUUUGCCACGUGACAUUUUCAUGUUGGACAUUUAAAAUUUCAAACAGUUUUUCCAUCCAAUUCACACUUCACAACAAUGCAAUUGUCAAACAACGUGUCAAAAAUCAGUGUACAAUUAGCAAAGUUCAAUUGGUAAGGACCUUGCUACAUGGACACUAUGCUGUACACUUUAGUUUACAAUUUGCCACGUGACAUUACUCUAUUGGAUAGUUUAAAUUUCAAAAAGUUUUCCCGUCCUAUUGACAAUUGACAACGACGCGAGUGUCAAACAAUGUGUCAAAAAUCAAUAUACAAAUAACAAAGUUCAAUCGGAAAGAACCUUACUUCAUGUACACUAUGGUGUACACUUUAGAUCACACUUUGCCAUGUGACAUUACCCUUUUGGACGGCUUAAAUUUCAAACAGUUUUCCCAUUCAAUUGACACUUGACAACAAUGCUUGUGUCGAACAACGUGUCAAAAAUCAGUGUACAAAUAGUAAAGUUCAAUCGGUAAGGACCUUACUACAUAAACUAUGGUGUACACAUUAGUUUACACUUUGUCACGUGACACUACCCAGCUGGACAGUUUAAAUUUCAAACAGUUUUUCAAUCCAAUUGACACUAAACAACAUGUAAGUGUCGAACGCCGUGUCAAAAAUCAGUGUGCAAAUAGCAAAGUUCUAUCGGUAAGGAUCUUACUACAUGUACACUAUGGUGCACACUUUAGUUUACGCUUGGAGACAUGACAUUACCCUAUUGGAAAGUUUAAAUUUCAAAUGGUUUUUCCGUGAAAUUUACACUUGACAACAAUGCAAGUGUCAAAGAACGUGUCAAAAAUCAGUGUACAAUUAGAAAAGUUCAAUCGUUAAGGACCUUGCUACAUGUACACUAUGGUAUACACUUUAGUUUUCUCUUUGUCACAUGAUAUUACCCUGUUGGACUGUUUAAAUUUCAAAUAGUUUUUCCAUCCAAUUGACACUUGACAACAAUGCAAGUGUUAAACAAUGUGUCGAAAAUCAAUGCACAAAUAGCAAAGAUCAAUCGGUAAGGACCUUGCUACAUGUACACUAUGGUGUACACUAUAGUUUACUCUUUGCCAUGUGACAUUACCUGGUUGGACAGUUUAAAUAUCAAACAAUUUUCCAUCCAAUUGACACUUGGCAACAAUGCAAGUGUCAAACAACGUGUCAAAAAUUAGUGUACAAAUAGCAAAAUUUAAUCGGUAUGAACCAUAAUACAUGUACAUUAUGGUGUACACUUUAAUUUACACUUUCCCCCGUGACAUUACCCGUUGGACAGUUUAAAUUUCAAAAAGUUUUCCAUGUAAUUGACACGUGACAACAAUGUAGGUGUCAAACAACAUUUCGAAAAUUGGUGUACAAAUGGCAAAGAUCAAUCAGUAAGAACUUUGCUACUAGUACACUAUGGGAUGCACUUUAGUUUACACUUUACCAUGUGAUAUUGCCCUGUUGGACAGUUCAAAUUUCAAAUAGUUUUCCCAUCCAAUUGACAUUUGACAACAAUGCAAGUGUCAAACAACUUGUCAAAUAUCAGUGUACAAAUAUCAAAAUUCAAUCAGUAAGAACCUUACUGCUUCUACACUAUGGUGUACACUUUACCACAUGACAUUUCCGUGUUGGAUAGUUUAGAUUUAAAUCGAUUUUUCCGUCCAAUUGACACUUCACAACAAUGCAAGUGUCAAACAACGUGUCAAAAACCAGUGUACAAAUAGCGAAGUUCAAUCGGUAAGCACCUUGCCACAUGAACAGUAUGGUGUACACUUUAGUUUACACUUUGCCAAGUGACAUUACCCUAUUGGGCAGUUUAAAUUUCAAAUAUUUUUCCCAUCCAAUUGACACUUAACAACAAUGCAAGUGUCAAACAACUUGUCAAAAAUCACUGUUCAAGUAGCAAAAUUUAAUCGGUAUGAACAAUGUCACAUGUGCACUAUGGUGUAUACUCUAAUUUACACUUUGCCACGUGACAUUACCCGAUUGGACAGUUUAAAUUUCAAAAAGUUUUUCUAUCUAAUUGACACUUGAAGCCAAUGUAGGUGUCAAACAACGUGUCGAAAAUCUGUGUACAAAUGGUAAAGUUUAAUCAGUAAGAACCUUGCUACAGGUACACUAUGGGGUACACUUUAGUUUACAUAUUGCCACGAGACAUUACCCUGUAGGACUGUUUAAAUUUCAAAUUGUUUUCCCAUCCAACUCACACUUGACAACAAUGCAAGUGUCAAAUAACGUGUUGAAAAUCAGUGUACAAAUAGCAAAGUUCAAUUAGUAAGAACCUUGGUACAUGUACUCUAUAAUGUUCACUUUAUCACGUGACAUUUCCCUAUUGGAUAGUUUAAAUUUCAAAUAGUUUUUCCAUUGAAUUAACACUUCACAACAAUACGAGUGUCAAAUAACAUGUCAAAAACCAGUGCACAAAUAGCAAAGUUCAAUCGGAAAGGACCUUGCAGCAUGGACACUAUGGUGUACACUUUAGUUUACACUUUGCCAGGUGACAUUACCCUGUUGGACAGUUUAAAUUUUAAACAAUUUUCUCGUCCUGCUGACACUUGACAACGCGAGUGUCAAACAAUGUGUCAAAAAUCAGUGUGCAAAUAGCAAAGUUAAAUCGGUAAGAACCUUGCUACAUGAACACUAUGGUGUACACUUUAGAUUACACUUUGUCACGUGACAUUACCCUAUUGAACAGCUUAAAUUUCAAACGGUUUUCCCAUCUAAUUGACACUUGACAGCAAUGCAAGUGUCAAACAGCGUGUCAAAAACUAGUGUAUAAAUUGCAACGUUCAAUUCACAAGAACCUUACUAUAUGUACACGAUGGUGUACAUACUUUAGUUUACACUUUGCCAGAUGACAUUACCUUGCUAGACAAUUAAAUUUCAAACAAAUUUUCCAUCAAAUUGACACUUGACAACUAUGCAAGUGCCAAGCAACGUGUCAAAAAUUAGUGCACAAAUAGCAAAGUUCAAUCGGUAAGGACCUUGUCACAUGUACACUAUGGUUUACACUUUAGUUUACACUUUGCCACGUGAUAUAACCCUGUUGCACACUUAAAAUUUUAAACAGUUUUCCCACCCAAUUGACACUUGACAACAAUGCAAGUAUGGAACAACGUGUCAAAAACUAGUGCACAAAUAGCAAAGUUCAAUCGGAAAGGACCUUGCAGCAUGGACACUAUGGUGUACACUUUAGUUUACACUUUGCCAGGUGACAUUACCCUGUUGGACAGUUUAAAUUUCAAACAAUUUUCUCGUCCUACUGACACUUGACAACAACGUGAGUGUCAAAUAACGUGUCAAAAAUCAGUGUAAAAAUAGCAAAGUCCAAUCGAUAAGGACCUUGCUACAUGGACAUUAUGGUGUAUACUUUAGUUUACACUUUGCCACGUGACAUUACCCUCUUGGACAGUUUAAAUUUCAAAUAGUUUUCCCAUCCAAUUGACCAUUGACAACAAUGCAAGUGUUAAACAACGUAUCAAAAACUAGUGUAUAAAUUGCAAAGUUCAAUUACAAGAACCUUGCCAUAUGUACACGAUGGUGUACAUAUUUUAGUUUACACUUUGCCAGAUGACAUUACCCUGCUAGACAAUUAAAUUUCAAACAAUUUUUCCAUCAAAUUGACACUUGACAACUAUGCAAGUGCCAAACAACGUGUCAAAAAUUAGUGCACAAAUAGCAAAGUUCAAUCGGUAAGGACCUUGUCAUAUGUACACUAUGGUUGACACUUUAGUUUACACUUUGCCACGUGACAUGAACCUGUUGCACACUUUAAAUUUUAAACAGUUUUCCCACCCAUUUGACACUUGACAACAAUGCAAGUACGGAACAACGUGUAGAAAAUCAGUGUACAAAUAGCAAAGUUCAAUUGGUAAGGACCUUGCUACAUGUACAUUAUAAUGUACACUUUAGAUUACACUUUGCCACGUGACAUUACCCUGUUAGACAGCUUAAAUUUCAAAUGGUUUUCCCAUCUAAUUGACACUUGACAGUAAUGCAAGUGUCAAACAGCGUGUCAAAAAUCAGUGUAAAAAUAGCAAAGUUCAAUCGACAAGGACCUCGCUACAUGGACACUAUGGUGUACACUUUAGCUUAUGCUUUGCCACGUGACAUUACCCAGUGGGACAGUUUAAAUUUCAAAUACUUCUCCCAUCCAAUUGAAAAUUGAGUACAAUGCAAGUGUCAAACAACGUGUAAAAAACCAGUGUACAAAUAGCAAAGUUCAAUCGGUAAGGAUCUUGCUGCAUGCACACUAUAGUGUACACUUUAGUUUACGCUUUGCCACGUGACAUUAACCUGUUCGUCAGUUUAAAUUUCAAAUAGUUUUUCCAUCCAAUUUACACUUGACAACAAUGCAAGUGUCCAACAACGAGUCAAAAAUUAGUGUACAAAUAGUAAAGUUCAAUUUGUAAGGACCUUGCUACAUGUACACUAUGGUGUACACUUUAGUUUACACUUUGCCACAAGACAUUACCCUGCUGGACAAUUUAAAUUUCAAACAAUUUUUCCAUCCAAUUGAGACUUGACAACAAUGCAAGUGUCAAACAGCGGGUCAAAAAUCAGUGUACAAAUAGCAAAGUUCAAUCGGUAAGGACCUUGCUACAUGCACAAUAUGGUGUACACACUUUAGUUUACGCUUUGCCAUGUGACAUUACCCUACUGGACAGUUUAAAUUUCAAACAGUUUUUCCAUCUAAUUGACACUUGCCAACAAUACAAGUGUCAAACAACGAGUCAAAAAGCAGUGUACAAAUAGCAAAGUUCAAUCGGUAAGGACCUUGCUACAUGUACACUGUGGUGUACACUUUGGUUUAUACUUUGCCACGUGACAUUACCCUAUUGGAUAGUAUAAAUUUCAAAUAGCUUUCCCAUCCAAUUGACAAUUGACAAAAAUGCAAGUGUCAAACAACGUGUAAAAAAUAGGUGUACAAAUAGCAAAGUUCAAUCCGUAAGAACCUUUCUAAAUGUACACUAUGGUGUACACAGUUUAGUUUACACUUCGCCACGUGACAUUACCCUGUUGGACAGUAUAAAUUUCUAACUGUUUUCCCAUCCUAUUGACACUUGACAACAACGUGAGUGUCAAACAACAUGACAAAAAUCAGUGUUCAAAUAUCAAAGUUCAAUCGGUAAUAACCUUACUACAUGUAUACUAUAGUGUACACUUUAGAUUACACUUUGUCACGUGACAUUACCCUGUCGGAAAGCUUAAAUUUCAAAUAGUUUUCCCAUCCAAUUGACACUUGACAACAACGCCUAUGUCAAACAACGUGUCAAUAAUCAGUGUACAAAUAGCAAAGUUCGAUCGGUAAGGACCUUUCUACAUAAACUAUGGUGUACACUUUAGUUUAAACUUUGCCGCAUGACAUUACCCAGCUGGGCAAUUUAAAUUUUAAACAGCUUUCCCAUCCAAUUGACACUUGACAACAAUACAAGGGUCGAACAUCGUGUCAAAAAUCAGUAUACAAGUAGCAAAGUUCAAUCGGUAAGAAUCUUGCUACAUGUACACUAUGGAGUACACUUUAAUUUACGCUUUGCCACGUGACAUUACCCUGUUGGACAGUUUAAAUUUUAAAUUAUUUUCCCAUCCAAUAUACACUUGACAACAAUGCAAGUGUCAAAGACUGUGUCAAAAAUUAGUGUACAAAUAGCAAAGUUCAAUCGGUAAGGACCUUGCUGCAUGUUCACUAUGGUGUAUGCUUUAUUUUACACUUUGCCACGUGACAUUUCCCGGUUGGACAGUUUAAAUUUCAAACAGUUUUCCCAUCCAAUUGACACUUUACAAUAGUACAAGUAUCAAACAACGUGUCAAAAAUCAGUGUACACAUAGAAAGGUUCAAUCCGUAAGAACCUUACUAUAUGUGCACUAUGGUAUUCACACUUUAGUUUACACUUUGCCACGUGACAUUACCAUGUUGGACAGUUUAAAUUUCAAGCAGUUUUUCCAUCCAAUUGGCACUUGACACAAUGCAAGUGUUAAACAACGUGUCAAAAGUUAGCGUACAAAUAGCAAAGUUCAAUCUGUAUGAACCUUGCUACAUGUACACUGUGGUGUUCACACUUUAGUUUACACUUUGCCAUGUGACGUUACCCCGUUGGACAGUUUAAAUUUCAAACAGUUUUCCCUUCCAAUUGGCACUUGAUAACAAUGCACGUGUCAAACAAUGUGUCAAAAAUUAGUGCACAAAUAACAAAAUAUUAUCAGAAUGAACCAGCUACAUGUACACUAUGGUGUACAAUUUAAUUUACACUUUGCUACGUGACAUUACACUAUUGGACAGUUUAGAUUUCAAAAAGUUUUUCCAUCUAAUUGACACGUGACAACAAUGCAGGUGUCAAACAAUAUGUCGAAAAUCAGUUUACAAAUGGCAAAGAUCAAUCAGUAAUAACCUUGCUACUUGUACACUAUGGGGCACACUUUAGUUUACACUUUGCCAUGUGAAAUUACCUUGUUGGACAGUUUAAAUUUCAAUCAAUUUUUCCAUCCAAUUGACACUUGACAACAAUGUAAGUGUCAAACAACGUGUCAAAAAUCAGUGUAUGAAUAUCAAUGUUUAAUCGAUGUAAACCAUGCUACUUUAAUUUACACUUGCCACAUGACAUUACCUUGAUGGACAAUUUAAAUUUCAAAAUUUUUUUCCAUCUAAUUGACACUUGUAACCAAUGUAGGUGUCAAACAACGUGCCGAAAAUCAGUGCACAAAUGGUAAAAUUCAAUCAAUAAGAACCUUGCUACAUAUACACUAUGGGGUACACUUUAAUUUACACUCUGCCACGUGACAUUGCCCUAUUGGACUGUUUAAAUUUCAAACAGUUUUCCAAUCCAUCUGACACUCGACAACAAUGCAAGUGUCAAACAACGUGUCAAAAAUCAGUGUACAAAUAACAAAAUUCAAUCGGUAAGCACCUUGCUACAUGGACACUAUGGUGUACACUUUAGUUUACACUUUGCCACGUGACAUUUCCCUGUUCGACAGUUUAAAUUUUAGAUAGUUUUUCCAUCUAAUUUACACUCGACAACAUGCAAGUGUCCAACAACGAGUCAAAAAUUAGUGUACAAAUAGCAAAGUUCAGUCGGUAAGGACCUUGCUACAUGUACACUAUGGUGUACACUUUAGUUUACACUUUGCCACAAGACAUUACACUACUGGACAGUUUAAAUUAAAAAUAGUUUUUCCAUCCAAUUGAGACUUGAAAACAAUGCAAGUGUCAAAAGCGUGUCGAAAAUCAGUAUACAAAUAGCAAAGUUCAAUCGACAAGGACCUUGCUACCUGUACACUAUGGUGUACACACUUUAGUUUACACUUUGCCACGUGACAUUACCUUGCUGGACAAUUUAAAUUUCAAACAGUUUUUCUAUCUAAUUGACACUUGAUAACAUUGCAAGUGUCAAGCAACGAGUCAAAAAGCAAUGUACAAAUGGCGAAGUUCAAUCGGUAAGGACCUUGUUACAUGUACACUAUGGUGUACACUUUAGUAAAUACUUUGCCACGUCACAUUACCCUGUUGGACAGUAUAAAUUUCAAACAAUUUUCCCAUCAAAUUGACAACAAUGCAAGUGUCAAACAACGUGUGAAAAAUCAGUAUACGAAUAGCAAAGUUUAAUCGGUGUAAACCAUGCUACAUGUACACUAUGGUGUACACUUUAAUUUACACUCGCCACGUGACAUUACCGUAUUGGACAGUUUAAAUUUCAAAAAGUUUUUCUAUCCAAUUGACACUUAAAACCAAUGUAGGUGUCAAAUAACGUGUCAAAAAUUAGUGCACAAAUGGCAAAGUUCAAUCAGUAAGAACCUUGCUAUAUGUACACUAUGGGGUGCACUUCAGUUUACACAUUGCCACAUGACAUUUUCCUAUUGGACAGUUUAAAUUUCAAACUAUUUUCCCAUCUAAUUAACACUUGACACCAUUGCAAGUAUCAAACAAUGUGUCAAAAAUCAGUGUACAAAUAGCAAAGUUCAAUCUGUAAGCGUCUUGCUACAUGGACACUGUGGUGUACACUUUUGUUUACACUUUGCCACGUGACAUUACCCUGUUCGACAGUUUAAAUUUCAAACAGUUUUUCCAUCUAACUUACACUAGACAACAAUGCAAGUGUCCAACAAUCAGUCAAAAAUUAGUGUACAAAUGGCAAAGUUCAAUCGGUAAGGACCUUGCUUCAUGUACACUAUGGUGUACACUUUAGUUUACACUUUACCACAAGACAUUACCCUGCUGGACAGUUUAAAUUUCAAAUAGUUUUUCCAUCCAAUUGUGACUUGACAAUAAUGCAAGUGUCAAAAAUCAGUGUACAAAUAGUAAAGAUCAAUCGGUAAGGAGCUUGCUACAUGUACACUAUGGUGUUCACACUUUAGUUUACACUUUGCCACGUGAAAAUACCCUGCUGGACAGUUUAAAUAUCUAAUAGUUUUUCCAUCCAAUUGACACUUGAGAACAAUGCAAGUGCAAGCAAUGAGUCAAAAAGCAGUGUACAAAUAGCGAAGUUCAACUGGUAAGGACCUUGCCACAUGUACACUAUGGUGUAUACUUUAGUUUAUACUUUACCACGUGACAUUACCUUGUUGGACAGUAUAAAUUUCAAAUAGUUUUCCCAUUUAAUUGACAAUUGACUAAAAUGCAAGUGUCAAAGAACGUGUCAAAAAUCAAUGUACAAAUAGCAACGUUCAAUCGGUAAGGACCUUGCUACAUGUACACUAUGCUGUACACUUUUCCACGUGACAUUACCCAGUUGGACCGUUUAAAUUUCAAAUAGUUUUCCCAUCCAAUUGACACUUGACAACAAUACAAGUGUCAAACAACGAGUCAAAAAUCAGUGUACACUAGCAAAGUUCAAUCGGAAAGAACCUUGCUACAUGUACACUGUGGUACUCACACUUGAGUUUACACUUCGCCAUGUGAAAUUGCCGUGUUGGACAGUUUAAAUUUCAAAUAGUUUUCCCGUCCAAUUGGUACUUGACAACAAUACAAGUGUCAAACAACGUGUUAAAAAUCAUUAUACAAAUAGCAAAGUUCAAUUGGUAAGAACCUUGCUACAUGUACACUGCGGUGUUCACACUUUAGUUUACACUUUGCCACGUGACAUUACCCUGUUCGACAGUUUAAAUUUCACACAGUUUUUCCAUCCAAUUGGCACUUGACAACAAUGUAAGUAUCAAACAACUUUUCAAAAAUCAGUGUACAAAUAGCAAAGUUUAAUCGGUAUGAACCAUGCUAUAUGUACUCUAUGGUGUACACUUUAAUUUACACUUUGCGACAUGACAUUGCUCUACUAGACAGUUUAAAUUUCAAAAAAUUUUCCAUCCAAUUAACACGUGACAACAAUGCAGGUGUCAAACAACAUGUCAAAAAUCAGUGUACAAAAUGACAAAAAGCAAUCUAUAAGAACCUUGCUACUAGUACACUAUGGGGUACACAUUAGUUUAUACAUUGCCACGUGAAAUUACCCUGUUGGACAGUUUAAAUUUCAAAUAGUUUUCCCAUCCAAUUGACAGUAGACAACAAUGCAAGAGUCAAACAACAUGUCAAAAAUCAGUGUACAAAUAGCAAAGUUCAAUCGAUAAGGACCUUGCUACAUGUACACUAUAGUGUACACUUUAGUUUAUACUUUGCCACAUGACAUUACCCUGUUGGACAGUAUAAAUUUCAAACAAUUUUUCCAUCCAAUUGACACUUGACAACAAUGCAAAUGUUAAACAACGUGUCAAAAAUCAGUGUACAAAUAGCAAAGUUCAAUCGGUAAGCGCCUUACUACAUGGACACUAUGGUGUACACUUUAGUUUACACUUUGCCACGUGACAUUACCUUUUUCGACAGUUUAAAUUUCAAAUAGUUUUCCCAUCUAAUUACACUUGACAACAAUGAAAGUGUCCAACAACGAGUCAAAAAUUAGUGUACAAAUAGCAAAGUUCAAUCGAUAAGGACCUUGCUACAUGUGCACUAUGGUGUAUACUUUUGUUUACACUUUGGCACAAGACAUUACCCUGCUGGACAGUUUAAAUUUCAAAUAAUUUUUUCAUCCAAUUAAGACAUGACAACAAUGCAAGUGUCAAACAAAGCGUCACAAAUCAGUGUAGAAACAGCAAAGUUCAAUCGAUAAGGCCCUUGCUACAUGUACACUACGGUGUACACACUUUAGUUUACACUUUACCCCGUGACAUUAUCCCACUGGACAAUUUAAAUUUCAAACAAUUUUUUCAUCCAAUUGACACUUGACAACAAUGCAAGUGUCAAGCAACGAGUCAAAAAGCAGUGUACAAAUAGCGAAGUUCAAUCGGUAGGGACCUUACUACAAGUACACUAUUUUGUACACUUUAGUUUAUACUUUGCCCCGUCACAUUACCCUGUUGGGCAGUAUAAAUUUCAAACUGUUUUUUCAUCCAAUUGACAAUUGACAACAAUGCAAGUGUCGAACAACGUGUCAAAAAUCAGUGUACAAAUAGCAAAGUUUAAUCGGUAUGAACCAUGCUACAUCUACACUAUGGUGUACACUUCAAUUUACACUUUGCCACGUGACAUUACACUGUUGGACAUUUAAAAUUUGAAAAAGUUUUUCUAUCUAAUUGACACGUGACAACAAUGCAGGUGUCAAACAACAUGUCAAAAAUUAGUUUACAAAUGGCAAAGAUCAAUCAGUAAGAACUUUGCUACUAGUACACUAUGGGGUACACUUUAGUUUUCACUUUGCUGCGUGAAAUUACCCUGUUGGACAGUUUAAAUUUCAAACAGUUUUCCCAUCCAAUUGACACUUGACAACAAUGCAAGUGUCAAACAACGUGUCAAAAAUCAAUGUACGAAUAGCAAAGUUUAAUCAUUGUGAACCAUGCUACGUGUACACUCUGGUUUACACUUUGAUUUACACUUGCCACGUGACAUUACCCUGUUGGACAGUUUAAAUUUCAAAAAGUUUUUCCUUCUAAUUGACACAUGAAAGCAAUGUAGGUGUCAAACAAUGUGUCAAAAAUCAGUGCACAAAUGGCAAAGUUCAAUCAGUAAGAACCUUGCUACAUGUACACUAUAGAGUGCACUUUAGUUUACACUUUGCCACAUGACAUUGCCCUGUUGGACUGUUUAAAUUUCAAACAAUUUUUCCAUCCAAUUGACACUUGACAAUAAUGCAAGUAUCAAACAACGUGACAAAAAUCAAUGUACAAAUAGCAAAGUUCAAUCGGUAAGCACCUUGCUACAUGGACACUAUGGUGUACACUUUAGUUUACACUUUACCACGUGACAUUACCCUGUUCGACAGUUUAAAUUUCAAAUAGUUUUCCCAUCUAAUUUACACUUAACAACAAUGCAAGCUUCCAACAACGAGUCAAAAAUUAGUGUACAAAUAGCAAAGGUAAUCGGUAAGGAGCUUGCCACAUGUACACUAUGGUGUACACUUUAGUUUACACUUUAACACAAGAUAUUACCCUGCUAGAUAGUUUAAAUUUCAAACAGUUUUUCCAUCCAAUUGAGACUUGACAACAAUGCAAGUGUCAAACAACAUGUCAAAAAUCAGUGUACAAAUAGCAAAGUUCAAUCAGUAAGGACCUUACUAUGUGUACACUAUGGUGUACACACAUUAGUUUACACUUUGCCAUGUGACAUUACUCUGCUGGACAAUAUAAAUUUCAAACAAUUUUCCCAUCCAAUUGACAAUAGAUAAAAAUGAAAGUGUCAAAGAAUGUGUCAAAAAUUGGUGUAGAAAUAACAAAGUUCAAUCGGUAAGGACCUUGGUACACGUACCCUAUGGUGUACACUUUAGUUUACACUUUGCCAUGUGACAUUACCCUGUUGGACAGUUUAAAUUUCAAAUAGUUUUCCCAUCCAAUUGACACUUGACAACAAUGCAAGUGUCAAACAACGUGUCAAAAAUCAGUGUACACUAGCAAAGUUCAAUCGGUAAGAACCUUGCUACAUGUACACUAUGGUAUUCACACUUUAGUUUACACUUUGCCACGUGACAUUACCGUAUUAGAUAGUUUAAAUUUCAAAUAGUUUUCCCAUCCAAUUGGUACUUGACAACAAUACAAGUGUCAAACAACGUGUUAAAAAUCAUUGUACAAAUAGCAAAGUUCGAUCGGUAAGAACCUUGCUUCAUGUACACUAUGGUGUUCACAUUUUAGUUUACAAUUUGCCACGUGACAUUACCCUGUUCGACAAUUUAAAUUUCAAAGAGUUUUUCCAUCCAAUUGGCACUUGACAACAACAUGUCAAAAAUCAGUGUACAAAUAGCAAAGUUUAAUCGGUAUGAACCAUGCUACAUGUAUACUAUGGUGUACACUAUUCACUAAAUUAUUUCUUUUGAUUUAAAACUACCGCAAGUGUACGGUUCGUUAACAAGUAAUAAAGUGGAUUAAAUGAGUCCGAAUAUUGUCCCACAGAGAUUGUGAUAUGAUCCAGGAGUCGAGCCCGACGAAGGCAAGUGCGAGAUGAGACCCGUUGAUAGUUGAUGGCGGACCAAUGACGCGAUCAAGGGCAAAGCAAGUGAAACAAGCAAUGGAAUUGCUCGUUCAAGAAACCAUGGAUGGAACCAAGUCUGGGACUCAAAAUGGAGCAACUUUCAUGUUCGGGUCGAAGGCCGAAUCGAUUUGGAUCAAUUUGUUAUCAAGCGACGAAAGCGGAGGCAAAAAUCAAGACCAUGCGGCCGCACAGGUAAAAUUACAUGUAGCCGCACAGCAUGAUACCGAAAACCAAAAGACCAGCUCAAGUUAAACCAUGCGACCGCAUGAGCCAAAAAAAUUAGCGAUUUUUCUAGUUUUGGCCGAAUUUCCUAGUUUCGAUAGAAUUCUUAUGGAAUCAAAUUAUUACCAUAAUUUGAUGGUUUUGGACGUUUUUAUUCAUUAGUAUAAAUAGGAGAAUAUCUUUUCAUUGUAAAAACCUUUGAACUUUUGACAUUGCUUAAUAUUAUAGAGAGAGAAUUAUUCUUUCAAUUUAAUUGUUCUUCUUGAACAAUCUUGGAACUUAUCAAGAUUCAACUUCUUGUGGCAUUCUAUCAAUUGGAUUGUGGGUUCUUUCAAUUGUAAUCAAGGGGUUUAAGGUUCUUCGCUAAUCUAGGGUUUCUUGGUUCAAUUCUUGGGGUUCAAGAUCCAAAAUCGGGUUAGUAUUGGCGUUCUUGGGUUCCGCAUCAAUCUCAUUGUGGGUUUCGUAGUUUCCAUUGCUACGGGGUUCACAUCAGAUUGAUUAGUUCAAUUUUACCUAUCGUCGCCUUAACCGAAACAAUUGAAAUUCUUGCUAUUUUUGCUCACUAAAUUAUGAAUUAAUAACCUACUUAUAAAUAUAAAGCCUAAAUUAACUAGACUAAAUGCGUGAUUAUAACUAAAUGCAAGUUUUAUAAAAAUAUGAUAAUGAAAUGCGUACUAGGAUCCCGAAUCCCCUUAAACCUUCAAUCCCCUUUAAUCCGAAUUUUAUAAAAUUGAUAACACGAUUCAAUUAUGAAGACCAAUAUUCCUAAUUUGUUUAACAAUCUCUCUCGAGUAGAAUUAAACCUAUUUUCACAUGCGAUCCGACUAUAUUUCUAUGACGAAUGCGAACAUAUAAAAAUGCAUUAAAGAUUUAUGAGUACUUAAAGAUUAUGUAAAGCAUAGCGGUAUAUUUCUAUCCCCUAUCGAACUUUACGACAAUUAACAUAAUGUCUAACUUAUUUUCCAUCUCUCGAGGGUAAAAUAAGCCACAAAGCUCAUACAACUAUUGCACACAUAAUUGUAGAGAAAAUAAAAUCCAUGCCAAUCAUUCAAUAAUUAAAAAUAUGUUUUAACGUCAAAUUAAUAAAAUUCAAGAUUAAGGAUUCAUAAUAUAAGGUUCAUCGCAAAUCCUAGCACAUGAAAAUCUAGCCUAACAUAAUGGAAAAUAAAGAAAAACAAUAAUUAAAACCAAGGAAGAACAUCACCUAAUUGAUUUUUGAAGUGAAAUCUUCAAUCUUAAAGUGGGUUGCCUUGUUUUUGCCUUGUUAUUCCUCUCCAAAUCCUUCAAAAUUGUGUAUAUUCUCCAACUCUUUAUGUUUCAGGGUCGUCUGGCAUUUAUUGGGGAUGGAAUUAGGUCAAGGAAGUCGCCCAAAACCUUACUAAAUCGUGUUUGAGUCGAAUAAGGAAACCUGAGAUUUAGUCACAAUUUUAUACCAUGCGACCGCAUGGUAUAAAACCAUGCUACCGCAUGGUUCAGAAGUUUCAGCCCAGAUUUUUCCCUAUAUUGCCUUGUGCGACCGCAAGGAAUUAUAACCAUGUGACCACAUGGUUAUAGAAAAUUUUCCAUCGGACAGCUUUCAGUAUUUGGAUCAUAUCUUCGUCUCCCAAUAUUCAAUUGAGAUUAUUCAAAGUGUUUUGGAAAGAGAACUCAUAGAUUUUAAUAGAAAUAGGCUUCCUCAAAUUCUGAUGUUUACUAUGCGAAAAAUGGAUCUCAAGUAGAUACUAAAAAUCACGAGCGUAGCUUUUUUGCCUGAAAGUUCAUACUUGAUAAUACUUCAACCAUAUUUCACCUCUUGACUCAUUUUCUCAUCCGAUUGACCUCUAACACUCUUGAAUCUUCAUUCCAUUUCUGUCUCAUCUAUAGAUUAUUUGCAACUUGGUCCCCGAACUUUCAGUUUGCUCCAUUUUAGUCCUUUUCCGGCUCUUUUCUCCUGAAUUCCACCAUUUCUAUAGAAACACUUACAUUGCAUGAAUCCAACGAGAUUAAAUCACAAUUUAAACAUUUUUCUCGUAAUUAAGUCAUGUUUGUGAUCUAAAUAAGUGUGCAAAAACAUACUUAUCAAACCCCCCAAACUUGAACUAUUGUUUGUCCUCAAACAAGAUAGCGACUUAAUUCUGAACAAACAUGGCUUAAUACCCUGCUGUGGCUCAGGAUUGGACUAAGUAUUAGACUUUAUGAAAAUUUAUCAGGGCAAAAAUGACAUCAACCUUUACCUGUUAAAUGCGUACUUGACGUGUGUGUGUGAAUUCAUGCCAACAUAUUAGGUUCAUGAUGAAUUUGAGUCCCGACCCCAAGUGGUCAAAUGUGUCCUUACUUGCUCGAGAGAUACACAACCCCCCCAAAUUUAUUCUUUUCACUCAAUUAUCCCGGGGUUGUGUUUUAAGAUUAGAAAUUUACAUAGCUGUAGUCCUCACCCUCUCAUAGUUUGGAUUAAUCUCACUAUCACAAGUUUACAUUUCAACAAGUGAAGGCUCUCCCAAAUUUGAUUGCUUCGACACUCAAGAUUAGAAUAGGUUACUUGCCUCGCCUCGAAGGUAUAGUUUCCUCAACCAAAUGUCUAAGGGCUUUUCUUCUUGUUAAUGUCUCUCUUUUGUUUUUCUCACUUUCCAUUUUUUUUAAUAUAUCAUCUUCUAAUUUGCUUUCUAUAUAACCCCUUUAGCAAGCUUUAGGCCGAUGACUCCCAAACCAGUUGGUUUUAGGGCACCAGGUUUUAAACCCUUGCAGGCUUAUUCACUCGACUUAUAAAGGCUAGAUCAGAUGACUUUUUAUUAACCUCUUUCCUUCUUGCUUUCUAUAUGACUCAUUUACCGAACUUUCGGCCGGUGACUCCCAGGCCAGUUGACCUUAUGGCACUAGAUUUUGAAAUAUCCUUACAGGCUUACUUGCUCAAGUUAUAAAGGCAUGAAAAGAAGUGUCUUGUUCUCACAAAUUUAUUUUAUGCCCUUAUUGUUCUAUACAUUUAGUUUCCAAAACCAACCCCUAAUUUAAGAUUUUCACCUAAUCUUCAUCUUACUGGUCUAGUCAAUCCACACAAUAAAAUUCAUGCACCGAGCCCCCACUCAUCUCAAUGCUCCCCUAUAAUAGCUCAACCAUCACCAAACUAUCUUUAGGUAGUUUACGGGUUAAUUCAAUAGAGGGUUAUCAUUCUUUUCCUACUUUAUGCUCAAAAUCCAGUCAUUCAUAUAACAUGUCAAGCAUGAAUAGCACGCGUAGAUAAUGUCAAGUGUUACAUCAACAAGUAUCAGUUAGUCAAUUAACACCAGAUCUAAAGUUUUGUAGUUUAAACAAGUCCAAUAAUAACAUCAUAGCUACGUGAACUAUGGUGUACACUUUAGUUUACACUUUGCCACGUGAUAAUAUCCAGUUGGACAACUUAAAUUUUAAACAAUUUCCCUAUCCAAUUGACACUUGACAACAACACAAGGGUCAAACACGGUGUCAAAAAUCAGUGUACAAAUAGCAAAAUUCUAUCGAAAAGGAUCUUUCUACGUGUACACUAUGGUGUACACUUUAGUUUAUGCUUUGUCACGUGACAUUACCCCGUUGGACAGUUUAAUUUCAAAAAAUUUUCCAAUCCAAUUUACCCUUGACGACAAUGCAAAUGUCAAAGAACGUUUCAAAAAUCAGUGUACAAAUAGCAAAAUUCAAUCGGUAAGGACCUUGCUACAUGUACACAAUGGUGUACACUUUAAUUUACACUUUGCCACGUGACAUUACCCAAUUGGACAAUUUAAAUUUCAAACAAUUUUCCCAUCCAAUUGACACUUGACAACAAUGUAAGUGUCAAACAACGUGUAAAAAAAUCUGUGUACAAAUAGCAAAGUUCAAUCGGUAUGAAUCUUGCUACAUGUACACUAUGGUGUACACUUUAGUUUACGCUUUGCCACGUGACAUUACUCAGUUGGACAGUUUAAAUUUCAAAUAGUUUUCCCAUCCAAUUGACACUUGACAACAAUGCAAGUGUCAAACAACUUGUAAAAAAUCAGUGUACAAAUAGCAAAGUUCAAUUGGUAAGAACCUUGCUAUAUGUACAGUAUGGUGUUCACACUUUGUGACAUGACAUUACCAUGUUCGACAGUUUAAAUUUUAAACAGUUUUCCCAUCCAAUUGGCACUUGACAACAAUACAAGUGUCAAAUAACAUGUCAAAAAUAAGCGUACAAAUAGCAAAAUUAAAUAUAUAUGAACUAUGCUACAGGUACACUAUGGUGUACACUUUAAUUCACACUUCUCCACGUGACAUUACCCCGUUGGACAGUUUAAAUUUGAAAAAGUUUUUCCAUCUAAUUGACACGUGACAACAAUGCAAGUUUUAAACAACAUGUCGAAAAUCUGUGUACAAAUGACAAAGAUCAAUCAAUAAGAACCUUGCUACUAGUACACUAUGGGGUACACUUUAGUUUACACUUUGCCAUGUGACAUUAACCUGUUGAACAGUUUAAAUUUCAAACAUUUUUCCCAACCAGUUGACACUUGACAACAAUGCAAGUAUCAAACAAUGUGUCAAAAAUCAGUGUACAAAUCGCAAAGUUCGAUCGGCAAGAACCUUGCUUCAUGUACACUAUGGUGUAAACAUUGCCACAUGACAUUUCCAUGUUGAACAUUUUAAAUUUCAAAUCGUUUUUUCAUCCAAUUGACACUUCAUAAUAGUGCAAGUGUCAAACAACGUUUCAAAAAUCAGUUUACAAAUAGCAAAGUUCAAUCGGUAAGGACCUUGCUACAUGAACACUAUGGUGUACACUUUAGUUUACACUUUACCACGUGAUAUUACCCUGCUGGACAGUUUAAAUUUCAAAAAGUUUUCCCAUCCUAUUGACAAUUGACAACAACGCGAGUGUCAAACAAUGUGACAAAAAUUAGUGUACAAAUAGCAAAGUUCAAUCGAAAAGAAUCUUACUACAUGUACACUAUGGUGGUCACACUUUAGUUUACACUUUGUCACGUGACAUUACCGUGUUGGACAGUUUAAAUUUCAAACAAUUUUUCCAUCCAAUUGGGACUUGACAACAAUGCAAGUGUCAAAUAAUGUGUCAAAAAUUAGUGUACAAGUAGCAAAGUUCAAUAGGUAAGAACCGUGCUACAUGUACACUAUGGUGUUCACACCUUAGUUUACACUUUGCCACGUGACAUUACCCUAUUGGAUAGUUUAAAUUUCAAACAGUUUUCCAUCCAAUUGGCAGUUCACAACAAUACAAGUGUUAAACAACUUGUCAAAAAUAAGUGUACAAAUAGCAAAGUUUAAUCGGUAUGAACCAUGCUACGUGUACACUAUGGUGUACACUUUGAUUUACACUUUGCUACAUGACAUUACCCUAUUGGACAGUUUAAAUUUCAAAAAAAAUUUCCAUCUAGUUGAUAUAUGAUAACAAGGCAGGUGUCAAACAACAUGUCGAAAAUUAGUGUACAAAUGGCAAAGAUCAAUCAGUAAGAACCUUGCUACUAGUACACUAUGGGGUACACUUUAGUUUACACUUUACCACGUGACAUUACUGUGUUUGACAAUUUAAAUUUCAAAUAGUUUUACUAUCCAACUGACACUUGACAACAAUGCAAGUGUCAAACAACGUGUCGAAAAUCAGUGUACAAAUAGCAAAGUUCAAUCAGUAAGAACCAUGCUUCAUGUACACUAUGGUAUACACUUUGCCACGUGGCAUUUCCAUGUUGGACAGUUUAAAUUUCAAACAGUUUUUCCAUCCAAUUGACACUUCACAACAAUGCAAGUGUCAAACUACGUGUCAAAAACCAGUGUACAAGUAGCAAAGUUCAAUCGGUAAGCACCUUGCUACAUGGACACUAUGGUGUGCACUUUAAUUUAUACUUUGCCAUGUGGCAUUACCCUAUUGGAUAGUUUGAAUUUCAAACAGUUUUCCCAUCCAAUUGACACUUGACAACAAUGCAAGUGUCGAAAAAUGUGUUAAAAAUCGGUGUACAAAUAGCAGAGUUUAAUCGGUGUGAACCAUGCUACAUGUACACUAUGGUAUACACUUUAAUUUACACCUGCCAUGUGACAUUACCCUGUUGGAUAGAUUAAAUUUUAAAAACUCUUUCCAUCUAAUUGACACUUGAAACCAAUGUAGGUGUUAAACAACGUGUCGAAAAUCAGUGCACAAAUGGCAAAGUUCAAUCAGUAAGAACCUUACUACAUAUACACUAUGGGAUACACUUUAGUUUACACUUUGUUACGUGACAUUACCCCUAUUGGACUGUUUCAAUUUCAAAUGGUUUUCCCAUUCAAUUGACACUUGACAGCAAUGAAAGUGUCAAACAACGUGUCAAAAAUCAGUGUACAAAUAACAAAGUUCAAUGGUAAGCACCUUGCUACAUGGACACUAUGGUGUACACUCUAGUUUAUACUUUGCCACAUGACAUUACCUGUUGGACAGUUUAAAUUUCAAAUAGUUUUCCCAUUCUAUUAACACUUGACAACAACGCCAGUGUAAAACAAUGUAACAAAAAUCAGUGUGCAAAUAUCAAAGUUCAAUCGGUAAGAACCUUACUACUUGUUCACUAUGGUGUACACUUUAGAUUACACUUUCCCACGUGACAUUACCUGGUUGGACAGUUUAAAUUUCAAAUAGUUUUUCCAUCCAAUCGACACUUAACAACAAUGCAAGUGUCAAGCAACGUGUAAAAAAUCAGUGUACAAAUAGCAAAGUUCAAUCGGUGAGGACCUUCUAAAAUGUACACUAUGGUGUACACUUUAGUUUACACUUUGCCACAUGACCUUAACCAGUUGGACAGUUUAAAUUUCAAAUAGUUUUUCCAUCCAAUUGGCACUUGACAACAUGUAAGUGUCAAACAACGUGUCAAAAUCAGUGUACAAAUAGCAAAGUUUAAUUGGUAUGAACCAUGCUACAUGAACAUUAUGGUGUACACUUUAUUUUACACUUUGCCACGUGUUAUUUCCCUGUUGGACGGUUUAAAUUUAAAAAAGUUUUUCCAUCUAAUUGACAUGUGACAACAAUGCAAGUGUUAAACAACAUGUUGGAAAUCUGUGUACAAAUGGCAAAGAUCAAUCAGUAAGAACCUUGUUACUAGUACACUGUGGGGUACACUUUAGUUUACACUUUACCACAUGACAUUACCCUAUUGGGCAGUUUAAAUUUCAAAUAGCUUUCCAGUCCAGUUGACACUUGACAACAUUGCAAGUGUCAAACAAUGUGUCGAAAAUCAGAGUACAAAUAGCAAAGUUCAAUCUGUAAGAACCUUGCUACAAGUACACUAUGGUGUACACUUUGCUACGUGACAUUUCCAAGUUGAACAGUGUAAAUUUCAAACAGUUUUUCCAUCCACUUGACACUUCACAACAAUGCAAGUGUCAAACAUUAUGUCAAAAAUUAGUGUACAAUUAGCAAAGUUCAAUCGGUAAGGACCUUGCUACAUGGACACUAUGGUGUACACUUUAGUUUACACUUUGCCACGUGACAUUACCCUGUUGGACAGUUUAAAUUUCAAAAAGUUUUCCUGUCCUAUUGAAGAUUGACAACAACAUGAGUGUAAAAUAACAUGUCAAAAAUCGGUGUGCAAAUAGCAAAGUUCAAUCGGAAAGAACCUUACUACAUGUACACUAUGGUGUACACUUUAGAUCACACUUUGCCAUGUGACAUUACCCUAUUGGAUAACUUAAAUUUCAAAUUAUUUUCCCAUCCAAUUGAAACUUGACAACAAUGCCUGUCAAAUAACGUGUCAAAAAUCAAUGUACAAAUAGCAAAGUUCAAUCGGUAAGGACCUUACUACAUAAACUGUGGUGUACACUUUAGUUUACACUUUGCCAUGUGACAUUACCCAACUGGAUAGUUUAAAUUUCAAAUAGUUUUCCCAUCUAAUUGACAAUAGACAAUAAUGCAAGUGUCAAACACUUUGUCAAAGAUUAGUAUACAAAUAACAAAGUUCAAUUGGUAAGGAUCUUGCUACAUGAACACUAUGGUGUACACUUUAGUUUACACUUUGCCACGUGACAUUACACUAUUGGACAGUUUAAAUUUCAAACAAUUUUCCCAUUGAAUUGACACUUGACAAUAGUGCAAGUUUCAGACAACAUGUCAAAAAUAAAUGUACAAAUAGCAAAUUUCAAUCGGUAUGCACCAUGAUACAUGUACUCUUUAAUUUACACUUUGCCACGUGACAUUACCGUGUUGGACAGUGUAAAUUUUGAAAAGUUUUUCCAUCUAAUUGAUACUUGAAGCCAAUGCAGGUGUCAAAAAAUGUGUUGAAAAACAGUGUACAAAUUACAAAGUUCAAUCAUUAAGAACCUUGCUACAUGUACACUUUGCCACGUGACAUUUCCCUGUUGGACAGUUUAAAUUUCAAAUAGUUUUUCUAUCCAAUUUACACUUCACAACAAUGCAAGUAUCAAACAACGUGUCAAAAACCAGUGCACAAGUAGCAAAUUUCAAUCGGUAAGGACCUUGCAACAUGGACACUAUGGCGUACACUUUGUCAGGUGAAAUUACCCUGUUGGACAUUUUAAAUUUCAAACAGUUUUCCCAUCCUAUUGACACUUAACAACAACGCGAGUGUCAAACAACGUGUCUAAAAUCAGUGUACGAAAAGCAAAGUUCAAUCGGUAAGAACCUUUUUGUGUACACUUUAGAUUACACUUUGCCACAUGACAUUACCCCGUUGGACAGCUUAAAUUUAAAACAAUUUUCCCAUCUAGUUGACACUUGACAGCAAUGCAAGUGUCAAACAACUUGUCAAAAAUCAGUGUACAAAUAGCAAAUUUCAAUCAGUAAGGACCAUGCUACAUGUAAACUAUGGUGUACACUUUAGUUUACACUUUGCCACGUGACAUUACCCAACUGGACAGUUUAAAUUUUAAAUAGUUUUCCCAUCCAAUUGACACUUGACAACAAUGCAAGUAUCAAACAAUGUACCAAAAAUCAGUGUACAAAUAGCAAAGUUCAAUCCGUAAGGAUCUUGCUACAUGUACACUAUGGUGUACACUUUACUUUGCGCUUUGCCACGUGACAUUACCCUGUUCUUCUGUUUAAAUUUCAAACAAACUCACAUCCAAUUUACACUUGACAACACUGCAAGUGUCCAACAAUGAGUCAAAAAUCAGUGUACAAAUAGCAAAUUUCAAUCGGUAAGGACCUUGCUACAUGUACGCUAAAGUGUACACACUUUAGUUUACACUUUCCCAUGUGACAUUUUCCUGCUGGACAGUUUAAAUUUCAAAUAGUUUUUCCAUCCAAUUGACACUUGAAAGCAAUGUAAGUGUUAAACAAUUAGUCAAAAAGUAGUGUACAAAUAGCAAAGUUCAAUCGGUAAGGACCUCGCUACAUGUACACUAUGGUGUACGCACUUUAGUUUACACUUUGCCACGUAACAUUGCGCUCUUGAAUUGUAUCAAUUUCAAAUAGUUUUUCCAUCCAAUUGACACUUGAAAACAUUGCAAGUGUCAAACAACUUGUCAAAAAUCAGUGUACAAAUAGCAAAGUUCAAUCGGUAAGAACCUUGCUAAAUGUACACUAUGGUGUACACACUUUAGUUUACACUUUGCCAUGUGAUAUUACCCUAAUGGACAGUAUAAAUUUCAAAUAGUUUUCCCAUCCAAUUGACACUUGACAAUAGUGCAAGUGUCAAACAACGUGUCAAAAAUCAGUGUACAAAUUGUAAAGUUCAAUCGAUAAGAACCUUGCUACAUGUACGCUAUGGUGUACACACUUUAGUUUACACAUUGCCACGUGAAAUUACCCUGUUGGACAGUAUAAAUUUCAAAUAGUUUUUUCAUCCAAUUGACACUUGAAAACAAUGUAAGUGUCAAAGAACGUGUCAAAGAUCAGUGCACAAAUAGGAAAAUUCAAUCGGUAUGAAGCUUGCUACAUGUACCUUUGGUGUAAACUUUAGUUUACACUUUGCCACGUGUCAUUACCCUGUUGGAUGGUAUAAAUUUCAAACAAUUUUCCAAUCCAAUUGACACUUGACAACAAUACAAGUGUCAAAGGAUGUGUCAAAAAUCAGUGUACAAAUAGAAAAGUUCAAUCGGUAAGAACUUUGCUACAUGUACGCUAUGGUGUAUACACAUUAGUUUACACUUUGCCACAUGACAUUAACCUAUUAGACAACUUAAAUUUCAAACAAUUUUCCCAUCCAAUUGACACUUGACAACACUGCAAGUGUCAAACCUCGUGUCAAAAAUCAGUGUACAAAUAACGAAUUUUAAUCGGGAAGAACCUUCCUACAUGUACCCUAUGGUGUACACACUUUAGUUUACACUUUGCCACGUGACAUUACCCUGUUAGAUAGUAUAAAUUUCACACAAUUUUCCAUCCAAUUGACACUUGACAACAAUGCAAGUAUCAAACAACUAGUCAAAAAUUAGUGUACAAAUAGCAAAGUUGAAUCGGUAUGAACCUUGCUACAUGUACACUUUAGUUUACAUUUUACCACGUGACAUUACCCUGUUGGGCAGUUUAUAUUUCAAAUAGUUUUUCCAUCUAAUUGACACUGGACAACAAUGCAAGUGUUAAAGAACGUGUCAACAUCAGUGUACAAAUAGCAAAGUUCAAUCGGUAAGAACCUUGCUAAAUGUACGCUAUGGUGUACAAACUUUAGUUUACACUUUGCCACGUGACAUUACCCUAUUGGAUAGUCUAAAUUUCAAAGAGUUUUCCCAUCCAAUUGACACUUGAAAACAAUGCAAGUAUCAAACAAUGUGUUAAAGAUUAGUGCACAAAUAGCAAAAUUCAAUCGGUAUGAACCUUGCUAUAUGUACCCAUUGGUGUAAACUUUAGUUUACACUUUGCAACGUGUUGGACAAUUUAAAUUUCAAAUAGUUUUUGAAUCUAAUUGACACUUGACAACAAUGCAAUUGUGUCAAACAACGUGUCAAAAAUCAGUGUACAAAUAUAAAAGUUCAAUUGGUAAGAACCUUGCUACAUGUACACUAUGGUGUACACACUUUAGUUUACACUUUGCGACGUGACAUUACCCUAUUGGAGAGCUUAAAUUUCAAACAGUUUUCUCAUCCAAUUAACACUUGAAAUACUGCAGGUGUCAAACCUCAUGUUAAAAAUCAUUGUAAAAAUAGCAAUGUUCAAUCGGUAAGAACCUUGCUACUUAUACACUAUGGUGUACAUACUUUAGUUUAUACUUUGCCAAGUGACAUUACCUUGUUAGACAGCAUAAUUUCACACAGUUUUCCCAUCCAUUUGACACUUGACAACAAUGCAAGUGUCAAAAAACUUGUUAAAAAUUAGUGUACAAAUAGCAAAGUUCAAUCGGUAUGAACCUUGCUACAUGUACACUUUAGUUUACAUUUUACCACGUGACAUUACCCUAUUGGGCAGUUUAUAUUUCAAACAAUUUUUUCAUCUAAUUGACACUGGACAACAAUGCAAGUGUCAAAGAACGUGUCAAAAAUCAGUGUACAAAUAGUAAAGUUCAAUCGGUAAGAACCUUGCUACAUGUACACUUUGGUGUAUACUUUAGUUUACACUUUGCCACGUGUCAUUACUCGGUUGGACAGUCUAACUUUUAAACAGUUUUCCCAUCGAAUUGGCACACAUCAACAAUGCAAGUGUCAAACAACGUGUCAAGAAUCAAUGUACAAAUAGCAAAGAUCAAUCAGUAAGAACCUUGAAGCAUGUACAAUAUGGUCUAAACUUUAGUUUAUACUUUGCCACGUGUCAUUACCCUGUUUGACAAGUUAAAUUUCAAAGAUUUUCUCAUCCAAUUGACACUCAUCGACAAUGCAAGUGUUAGACAACGUGUUAAAUAUCAUUGCACAAAUAGUAAAGUUCAAUCGGAAAGAACCUUGCUACAUGUACACUAUUGUGUACACACUUUAGUUCACACUUUACCAUGUGACAUUGCCCCCCUGUCGGACUAUUUAAAUUUCAAAUAGUUUUCCUAUCCAAUUGACAAUUGGCAACAAUACAAGUUUCAAACAACGUGUCAAAAAUCAGUGUACAAAUUAGAAAGAUCAAUCGGUAAGAACCUAGCUACAUGUACACUAUGGUGUACACUUUAGUUUAGACAUUGCCACGUGUCAUUACCUUGUUGGAGAGUUUAAAUUUCAAACACUUUUCCCAUCCAAUUGACACUGUCAACAAUGCAAGUGUUAAACGUGUCAAAAAUCAGUGUACAAAUAGCAAGGAUCAAUCGGUAAGAACCUUGCAACAUGUACACUAUGGUGUACACUUUGCCACGUGCCAUUACCCUAUUGGACAGUUUAAAUUUCAAAUGGUUUUCCCAUCCAAUUGACACUAGUCAACAAUGCAAGUGUCAAACAAUGUAUUAAAUAUCGGUGUACAAAUAGAAAAGUUCAAUCGGUAAGGAUCCACUUAAUAACAAUGCAUGUAUUAAAUAACGUGUCAUAAAUCGUUGUACAAAUAGCAAAUUUCAAUCAGUAAGAACGUUGCUGCAUGUACACUAUGGUGUACACUUUAGCUUACACUUUACCGCGUGACGUUACACUAUUGGACAGCUUAAAUUUCAAAUAGUUUUUCCAUCCAAUUGACACUAGACAACACUGCAAGUGCCAAACAUCGUGUCAAAAAUAAGUGUACAAAUAGCAAAGUUCAAUCGGUAAGAACCUUGCUAAAUGUACACUAUGGUGUACAGACUAUAGUUUACACUUUGCCAUGUGACAUUAUCCUAUUGAACAGAAUAAAUUUCACAUAGUUUUCCCACCCAAUUGACAUUUGAAAACAAUGCAAGUGUCAAACAACGUGUCAAAAAUUAGUGUAUAAAUAGCAAAGUUCAAUCGGUAUGAACCUUGCUACAUAUACACUUCCGUUUACACUUUACCACGUGACAAUACCCUGUAGGGCAGUUUAAAUUUCAAAAAUUUUCCCAUCUAAUUGACACUUGAAAACAAUGCAAGUGUCAAACAAUGUGUUAAAAAUCAGUGUGCAAAUAGCAAAGUUCAAUCGGUAAUAACCUUGCUACAUGUACACUAUGGUGUACACUUUAGUUUACACUUUGUCACGUGUCAUUACCCUAUUUGACAGUUUGAAUUUCAAAUAGUUUUUCCAUCCAACUGACACUCAUCAGCAAUGCAAGUGUCAAACAACGUGUCAAAAAUCAGUGUACAAAUGGCAAAGUUCAAUCGGGAAGAACCUUGCUACAUAUACACCAUGGUGUACACACUUUAGUUUACAUUUGCCACGUGUCAUUAACCUGUUGGACAGUUUAAAUUUCAAAUAGUUUUCCAAUCCAAUUGACACUUGAUAAUAAUGCAGGUGUCAAACAACGUGUAAAAAUAAGUGUACAAAUAUAAAAGUUCAGUCAGUAAGAACCUUGCAACAUGUACACUAUGGUGUACGCACUUUAGUUUACACUUUGCCACGUGACAUUAUCCUAUUGGACAACUUAAAUUUCAAAGGGUUUUCCCGUCCAAUUGACCUUUGACAACACUGCAAGUGUCAAACCUCGUGUAAAAAAUGAGUGUACAAAUAGCAAAGUACAAUCGGUAAGAACCUUGUAAGAUGUACACUAUGGUGUACACACUUUACUUUACACUUUACCAUGUGACAUUACCCUCUUAGACAGUGUAAAUUUCAGUCACUUUUCCCAUCUAAUUGACACUUGACAACAAUGCCAGUGUCAAACAAGUUGUCAAAAAUUAGUGUAUAAAUAGCAAAGUUCAAUCGGUAUGAACCUUCCUACAUUUACACUUUAGUUUACAUUUUACCACGUGACAUUACCCUAUUGGGCAGUUUAUAUUUCAAACAGUUUCUCCAUCUAAUUGACACUGGACAAUAAACGUUGUCUAGUGUCAAAGAACAUGUCAAAAAUCAGUGUACAAAUGGCAAAGUUCAAUCGGUAAGAACCAUGCUACAUGUACACUAUAGCGUACACUUUAGUUUACACUUUGCCACAUGUCAUUAACCUGUUGGACAGUCUAAAUUUUAAACAGUUUUUCCAUCAAAUUGGCACUUGUCAACAAUGCAAGUGUCAAACAACGUGUCAAAAAUCAGUGUACAAAUAGCAAAGAUCAAUCGGUAAGAACCUUGCAACAUGUACACUUUAGUUUACACUUUGCCAUGUGUCAUUACCCCGUUGGACAAUUUAAAUUUCAAAGAGUUUUCCCAUCCAAUUGACACUUGUCCACAAUGCAAGUGUCAAACAACGUGUUAAAUAUCAGUAUACAAAUACCAAAGUUCAAUCGGUAAGGACCUUGCUACAUGUACACUAUGGUGUACACACUUUAGUUCACACUUUACCAUGUGACAUUACCCCCCUGUUGGACUGUUUAAAUUUCAAAUAGUUUUCCAAUCCAAUUGACACUUGACAACAAUGCAAGUGUCAAAAAUCAGUGUACAAAUAGUAAAGAUCAAUUGGUAAGAACCUUGCUACAUGUACAAUAUGGUGUACACUUUAGUUUAGACUUUGCCACGUGUCAUUACACUAUUGGAGAGUUUAAAUUUCAAACACUUUUCCUAUCCAAUUGACACUCGUCAACAAUGCAAGUGUCAAACAAUGUGUCAAAAAUUAGUGUACAAAUAGCAAGGAUCAAUCGGUAAGAACCUUGCAACAUGUACACUAUCGUGUACCCUUUAGUGUAGACUUUGCCACGUGUCCUUAACCUGUUGGAAUGUUUAAAUUUCAAACAGUUUUCCCAUCCAAUUGACACUCGUCAACAAUGCAAGUCUCAAACAACGUGUUAAAUAUUGGAGUACAAAUAGAAAAGUUCAAAUGGUAAGGACCUUGCUACAUGUACACUACGGUGUACACACUUUAGUUUACACUUUGCCACGUGACAUUACCCUGUUGGACUGUAUAAAUUUGAAACAGUUUUCCAUCCAAUUGACACUUAACAACAAUGCAAUUAUCAAAUAACGUGUCAAAAACCGGUGUACAAAUAGCAAAGUUCAAUCGGUAAGAACGUUGCUACAUGUACACUAUGGUGUACACUUUAGUUUACACUUUACCAUGUGAUAUUACACUAUUGGACAACUUAAAUUUCAAAUAGUUUUCCCAUCCAAUUGACACUGACAACAUUGCAAGUGUCAAACAUUGUGUCACAAAUAAGUGUACAAACAGCAAAGUUCAAUUGGUACGAACCUUGCUACAUGUACACUAUGGUGUACACACUUUAGUUUACACUUUGCCACGUGACAUUACCCUAUUGUACAGAACAAAUUGCACAUAGUUUUCCCAUCCAACUGACACUUGACAACAAUGUAAGUGUCAAACAACGUAUCAAAAAUUAGUGUACAAGUAGCAAAGUUCAAUCGGUAUGAACCUUACUGCAUGUAUACUUUAGUUUACACUUUACCACGUGACAAUACCCUGUAGGGUACUUUUAAUUUCAAACAAUUUUCCCAUCUAAUUGACACUUGAAAAUAGUGCAAGUGUCAAACAAUGUGUCAAAAAUCAGUGUACAAAUAGCAAAGUUCAAUCGGUAAUAACCUUGCUACAUGUACAUAUGGUAUACACAUUAGUUUAUACUUUGUCACGUGUCAUUACCCUAUUUGACAGUUUAAAUUUCAAACUAUUUUCCCAUCCAAUUGACACUCGUCAAAAAUGCAAGUGUCGAACAUCAUGUCAAAAAUCAGUGUACAAAUGACAAAGUUCAAUCGGGAAGAACCUUGCUACAUGUACACUAUGGUGUACACACUUUAGUUUACACAUUGCCAUGUGUCAUUAACCUGUUGGACAGUUUAAAUUUCAAACAGUUUUCCAAUCCAAUUGACACAUGACAAUAAUGCAGGUGUCAAACAAAGUGUCAAAUAUAAGUGUACAAAUAUAAAAGUUCAUUCGGUAAGAACCUUGCUACAUGUACACUAUGGUGUACACACUUUAGUUUGCACUUUGCCACGUGACAUUAUCCUAUUGGACCGCUUAAAUUUCAAAUGGUUUUCCCGUCCAAUUGACCCUUGACAACACUGCAAGUGUCAAACCUCGUGUCAACAAUCAGUGUACAAGUAGCAAAGUACAAUCGUUAAGAACCUUGCAACAUGUACACCAUGAUGUACACACUUUAGUUUAUAUUUUACCACGUGACAUUAUCCUGUUAGACAGUGUAAAUUUCACGCCAUUUUCCCAUCCAAUUGACACUUGACAACAAUGCCAGUGUUAAACAACUUGUCAAAAAAUAGUGUACAAAUAGCAAAGUUCAAUCGGUAUGAAUCUUGCUACAUGUACAAUUUAGUUUACAUUUUACCACGUGACAUUACACUAUUGGGUAGCUUAUAUUUCAAACAGUUUCUCCAUCUAAUUGACACUGGACAACAAUCCAAGUGUCAAAGAACGUGUCAAAAAUCAGUGUCCAAAUAGCAAAGUUCAAUCGGUAAGAACCUUGCAACAUGUACACUAUGGUGUACACUUUAGUUUACACUUUGCCACGUGUCAUUACCCUAUUGGACAGUCUAAAUUUUAAACAGUUUUUCCAUCCAAUUGGCACUCGUCAAUAAUGCAAGUGUCAAACAAUGUGUCAAAAAUCAGUGUACAAAUAGCAAAGAUCAAUCAGUAAGAACCUCGCAACAUGUACACUAUGGUGUACACUUUAGUUUACACUUUGCCAUAUGCCAUUACCCUAUUGGACAAUUUAAAUUUCAAAGAGUUUUCCCAUCUAAUUGACACUUGUCCACAAUGCAAGUGUCAAACAACGUGUUAAAUAUCAGUGUACAAAUAGCAAAGUUCAAUCGGUAAGGACCAUGCUACAUGUACACUAUGGUGUACACACUUUAGUUCACACUUUACCAUGUGACAUUACCCCCCCCCCCCCCGUUGGACUGUUUAAAUUUCAAAUAGUUUUUCCAUCAAAUUGACACUUGACAACAAUGCAAGUGUCAAACAACGUGUCAAAAAUCAUUGUACAAAUAGCAAAGACCAAUUGGUAAGAACCCUGCUACAUGUACACUAUGGUUUACACUUUAGUUUAGACUUUGGCACGUGUCAUUACCCUGUUGGAGAGUUUAAAUUUCAAACACUUUUCCUAUCCAAUUGACACGCCUCAACAAUGUAAGUGUCAAACAACGUGUCAAAAAUUAGUGUACAAAUAGCGAGGAUCAAUCGGUAAGAAUCUUGUGAUAUGUACACUAUGGUGUACACUUUAGUGUAGACUUUGCCACGUGUCAUUACCCUGUUGGAUAGUUUAAAUUUCAAACAGUUUUCCAUCCAAUUGACACUCGUCAACAAUGCAAGUGUCAAACAACGUGUUAAAUAUUAGUGUACAAAUAGAAAAGUUCAAUCGGUAAAGACCAAGCUACAUUUACACUAUGGCGCACACACUUUAAUUUACACUUUGCCACGAGACAUUACCCUGUUGGACUAUAUAAAUUUCAAACAUUUUUCCCAUCCAAUUGACACUUAACAAUAAUGCAAGUAUCAAAUAACGUGUCAAAAAUCGGUGUACAAAUAGCAAAGUUCAAUCGGUAAGAACGUUGCUACCUGCACACUAUGGUCCACACUUUAGUUUACAGUUUACCACGUGACAUUACCCUGUUGGACAGUUUAUAUUUCAAAUAGUUUUCCCAUCUAAUUAACACUGGACAACAAUGCAAGUGUCAAAGAAUGUGUGAAAAAGUUGUGUACAAAUAGCAAAGUUCAAUCGAUAAGAACCUUGCUACAUGUACACUAUGGUGUACACUUUAGUUUACACUUUGCCACGUGUCAUUACCCUAUUGGACAAUCUAAAUUUUAAACAAUUUUUCCAUCCAAUUGGUACUCGUCAACAAUGCAAGUGUCAAAUAACGUGUUAAAAAUCAGUGUACAAAAAGCAAAGAUCAAUCGGUAAGAACCUUGCAACAUGUACACUAUAGUGUACAUUUUAGUUUACACUUUGCCAUGUGUCACUACCGUCUUGGACAAUUUAAAUUUCGAAGAGUUUUCCCAUCCAAUUGAAACUCAUCCAAAAUGCAAGUGUCAAACAACGUGUUAAAUAUCAGUGUACAAAUAGCAAAGUUCAAUCGGUAAGGACCUUGCUACAUGUACACUAUGGUGUGCACACUUUAGUUCACUCUUUACCACGUGACAUCACCCCCCUAUUGGACUGUUUAAAAUUCAAAUAUUUUUCCCAUCCAAUUGACCCUUGACAACAAUGCAAGUGUCAAACAACGUGCCAAAAAUCAGCGUACGAAUCGCAAAGUUCAAUCGAUAAGAACGUUGCUACAUGUACACUAUGGUGUAUACUUUAGUUUGCACUUUGCCACGUGAUACUACCCUAUUAGACAGCUUAAAUUUCAAAUAAUUUUUCCAUCCAAUUGACACUUGACAACACUGCAAGUGUCAAACAUCGUGUCAAAAAUAAGUGUACAAAUAGCAAAGUUCAAUCGGUAAGAACCUUGCUACAUGUACACUAUGGUGUACACACUUUAGUUUACACUUUACCACGUGACAUUACACUAUUGGAUAGUAUAAAUUUCACACAAUUUUUCCGUCCAAUUGACACUUGACAACAAUGCAAGUGUCAAACAACGUGUGAUAAAUCAGUGUACAAAUAGCAAAGUUAAAUCGGUAUGAACCUUGCUGCAUGUACACUUUAGUUUACACUUUGCCACGUGACAAUACCCUGUCAGGUAGUUUAAAUUUUAAACAAUUUUUCCAUCUAAUUGACACUUGAAAACAAUGCAAGUGUCAAACAACGUGUUAAAAAUUAGUGUACAAAUAGCAAAGUUCAAUCGGUAAUAACCUUACUAUAUGUACACUAUGGUGUACAUUUUAGUUUACAGUUUGCCACGUGUCAUUACCCUGUUUGACAGCUUAAAUUUGAAACAGUUUUCCCAUCCAAUUGACACUAGUCAGGAAUGCAAGUGUCAAACAACGUAUCAAAAAUCAGUGUAAAAAUGGCAAAGUUCAAUCGGCAAGAAUCUUGCUACAUGUACACUAUGGUCUACACACUUUAGUUUACACUUUGCCACAUGACUUACCCUCUUGGAUUGUGUAAAUUUCAAAUAGCUUUUCCAUCCAAUUGACACUUGACAACAUAGUAAGUGUCAAACAACGUGUCAAAAUCAGUGUACAAAUGGCAAAGUUCAAUCGGUAAGAACCUUGCUACACGUACACAAUGGUGUACACUUUAGUUUACACUUUGCCACUUGUCAUUACCCUGUUUGACAGUUUAAUUUACAAGCAGUUUUCCCAUUCAAUUGACACUUGACAAUAGUGUAAGUGUCAAACAACUUGUCAAAAAUCAGUGUACAAAUAGCAAAGUUCAAUCGGUAAGAACCUUGCUACAUGUACAAUAUGGUGUACACACUUUAGUUUACACCUUACCACGUGACAUUACCCUGUUGGGGAGUUUAAAUUCCAAACUAUUUUCCCAUCUAAUUGGCGUGUGACAGCAAUGCAAGUGUCAAACAACGUGUCAAAAAUCAACUUACAAAUAGCAAAGUUCAAUCGGUAAGAACUUUGCUAUAUGAACACUAUGGUGUAAACUUUAGUUUACAUUUUGCCACAAGUCAUUACCCUAUUGGGCAGUUUAAAUUUCAACUAGUUUUCGCUUCCAAUUGACACUUUGCAACAAUGCAAGUGUCAAACAACGUGUCAAAAAUCAGUGUACAAAGAGCAACGAUCAAUCGAUAAAAACCUUACAACAUGUACACUACGGUGUACACUUUAGUUUACACUUUGCCACGUAACAUUACCCUCUUGGACAAUUUAAAUUUCAAAUAGUUUUCCCAUCCAAUUGACAAUCGUCAACAAUGCAAGUGUCAAACAUCAGUGUACAAAUAGCAAAGUUCAAUCGGUAAGGACCUUGCUACAUGUACAAUACAGUGUACACACUUUAGUUUACCCUUUACCACGUGACAUUACCCUGUUUAACAGUAUAAAUUUCACACAGUUUUCCCAUCCAAUUGACACUUGACAACAAUACAAGUGUCAAACAACGUGUCAUAAAUCAGUGUACAAAUAGCAAAGUUCAAUCGGUAUGAACCUUGCUGCAUGUACACUUUAGUUUACACUUUGCCACGUGACAAUACCCUGUAGGGCAGUUUAAAUUUCAAACGAUUUCCCAUCUAAUUGAUACUUGAAAACAAUGCAAAUGUCAAACAACGUGUCAAAACUCAGUGUACAAAUAGCAAAGUUCAAUCGAUAAUAACUUUGCUACAUGUACACUAUAGUAUACACUUUAGUUUACACUUUGUCACAUGUCAUUACCCUGUUUGACAGUUUAAAUUUCAAACAGUUAUCCCAUCCAAUUGGCACUUGUCAACAAUGCAAGUUUCAAACAACGUGUCAAAAAUCAGUGUACAAAUGGCAAAGUUCAACCGGGAAGAACCUUGCUACAUGUACACUAUGGUGUAUAGACUUUAGUUUGCACUUUGCCAUGUGACAUUACCCUCUUGGACUGUGUAAAUUUCAAAUAGUUUUCCCAUCCAAUUGACACUUGACAAUAAUGCAAGUGUCAAACAUUGUGUCAAAAUCAGUGUACAAAUAGCAAAGUUCAAUCGGUAAGAAACUUGCUACAUGUACACAAUGGUGUACACUUUAGUUUACACUUUGCCACUUGUCAUUACCCUAUUUGACAGUUUAAUUUUCAAAUAGUUUUUCCAUUGAAUUAACAAUUGACAACAAUGCAAGUAUCAAACAAUUUGUCAAAAAUCAUUGUACAAAUAGCAAAGUUCAAUAGGUAAGAACCCUGCUACAUGUACACUAUGGUGUACACACAUUAGUUUACCCUUUGUCAUGUACCAUUACCCUAUUGGGCAGUAUAAAUUUCAAACAGUUUUCCUAUCCAAUCGACACUAGUCUACAAUGCAAGUAUUAAACAACGUACGAAAAUCAAUGUACAAAUAAGAAACUUAAAUCGGUAUGAACCUUGCUAUAUGUACACUUUAGUUUACACUUUACCACGUGACAUUACCCUGCUGGGCAGCUUAAAUUACAAACUAUUUUCCCAUCUAAUUGACACCUAACAGCAACGCUAGUGUUAAACGUGUCAAAAAUCAGUGUACAAAUAGCGACGAUCAAUCGGUAUGAGCCUUGCAACAUGUACACUACGGUGUACACAUUAGUUUACACUUUGCCACGUAUCAUUACCCUGUUGGAUAGUUUAAAUUUCAAAUAGUUUUCCCAUCCAAAUGACACUCAUCAACAAUGCAAGUGUCAAACAACGUGUCAAACAUCAGUGUAAAAAUAGAAAAGUUCAAUCGGUAAGGACGAUGAUACAUGUACAAUACGGUGUACACACUUUAGUUUACCCUUUGCCUCAUGACAUUACCCUGAUGGAUAGUAUAAAUUUCACACAGUUUUCCCAUCCAAUUGACACUUGACAAACAAUGCAAGUGUCACACAACGUGUCAAAAAUCAGUGUACAAAUAGCAAAGUUCAAUCGGUAUGAACCUUGCUGCAUGUACACUUUAGUUUACACUUUACCACGUGACAAUACCCUGUAGGGCAGUUUAAAUUUCAAACAAUUUUCCCAUCUAAUUGACACUUGAAAACAAUGCAAGUGUCAAACAACGUGUCAAAAAUUAGUGUACAAAUAGCAAAGUUCUAUCGACAAUAACCUUGCUACAUGUACACUAUAGUGUACACUUUAGUUUACACUUUGCCACGUGUCAUUACCCUAUUUGACAGCUUAAAUUUCAAAUAGUUUUCCCAUUAAAUUGACACUCGUCAGCAAUGCAAGUGUCAAACAACGUGUCAAAAAUCAGUGUACAAAUGGCAAAGUUCAAUCGGGCAGAAACUUGCUACAUGUACACUAUUGUGUACAGACUUUAGUUUACACUUUGUCACGUGACAUUACCCUCUUGGAUUGUGUAAAUUUCAAACAGUUUUCCCAUCCAAUUGACAGUUGACAACAAUGCAAGUGUUAAAAAACGUGUCAAAAUCAAUGUACAAAUGGCAAAGUUCAAUCGGUAAGAACCUUGCUAUAAGUACACAAUGGUGUACACUUCAGUUUACACUUUGCCACUUGUUAUUACCCUGUUUGACAGUUUAAUUUUUAAACAGUUUUCCCAUCCAAUUGACACUUGAGAACAAUGUAAGUAUCAAACAACUUGUCAAAAAUUAGUGUACAAAUAGCAAAGUUCAAUCAGUAAGAACCUUGCUACAAGUACACUAUGGCGUACACUUUAGUUCACACUUUGCCACGUGACAUUACUACAUGUAUACUAUGGUGUACACACUAUAGUUUCACUUUGCCACGUGCCAUUAAACUUCAAAUAGUUUUCCCAUCCAAUUGACACUAGUCAACAAUGCAAGUGUCAAACAACGUAUAAAAAUCAAUGCACAAAUAAGAAACUUAAAUCGGUAUGAACCUAGCUACAUGUACACUUUAGUUUACACUUUACCAUGUGACAUUACCCUAUUGGGCAGCUUAAAUUUCAAAUUGUUUUCCCAUCAAAUUGACACUUGACAGCAAUACUAGUGUCAAACAACGUGCCAAAAAUUAUUAUAAAAAUAGCAAAGUUCAAUCGGUAAGAACUUUACUACAUGAACACUAUGGUGUAAUCGUUAGUUUACACUUUACCACGUGACAAUACCCUGUAGGGUAGUUUAAAUUUCAAACAAUUUUCCCAUCUAAUUGACACUUGAAAACAAUGCAAGUGUCAAACAACAUGUCAAAAAUCAGCAUACAAAUAGCAUAGUUCUAUCAGUAAUAACAUUGCAACAUGUACACUAUAGUGUCCACUUUAGUUUACACUUUGCCACGUGUUAUUACCCUAUUUGACAGUUUAAAUUUCAAACAGUUUUUCCAUCCAAUUAACACUCGUCCGCAAUGUAAGUGUCAAUUAACGUGUCAAAAAUUAGUGUACAAAUGGCAAAGUUCAAUUGGGAAGAACUUUACUACAUGUACACUAUAGUGUACAGACUUUAGUUUACACUUUGCCACGUGACAUUACCCUCUUGGAUUGUGUAAAUUUCAAAUAGUUUUCCCAUCCAAUUGACACUGACAACAAUGCAAGUAUCAAACAACGUGUCAAAAAUUAGUGUACAAAUAGCAAAGUUCAAUAGGUAAGAACCUAGCUACAUGUACACUAUGGUGUACACACUUUAGUUUACACUUUGCCACAUGACAUUAUCCUAUUAGACAGUAUAAAUUUCACAUUUUUUUCCCAUCCAAUUGACACUUGACAACAAUGCAAGUGUCAAACAACUUGUCAAAAAUUAGUCUGCAAAUAACAAAAUUCAAUCGGUAAGAACCUUGCUACAUGUACACUAUUGUGUAAACUUUAAUUUACACCUUUCCACGAGACAUUACCCUGUUGGACAGUUUAAAUUUCAAAUAGUAUUCCCAUCCAACUAACACUUGACAAUAAUGGAUGUGUCAUACAACGUGUCAAAAAUAAGUGUACAAAUAGCAAAGUUCAAUCGGUAAGAACCUUGUGACACGUACACUAUAGUGUACACUUUAGUUUACACUUUACCACAUGACAUUACCCUGUUGGGCAGUUUAAAUUUCAAACAGUCUACCCAUCCAAUUGUCACUUGACAACGAUGAAAGCAUUGAACAACGUGUCAAAAAUCAAUAUACAAAUAGGAAAGUUCAAUCGGAAAGAACCUUGCGACAUGUACACUAUGGUGUAUACCUUAGUUUACAAUUUGCCACGUGACACAACCCUGCUACACAGUUUAAAUUUCAAACAGUUUUCCCAUCUAAUUGACAGCAACGCGAGUGUCAAACAAUGUGUCAAAAAUCAGUAUACAAAUAGCAAAGUUCAAUAUGUAAGAACCUUGCCACAUGUAUACUACGGCGUACACUUUAAUUUACACUUUGCCACGUGGCAUUAUCCUGUUGGACAGUUUAAAUUGUAAAUAGUUUUUCCAUCCAAUUGACACUUGACACAAUGCAAGUGUCAAACAGUGUGUCAAAAAUCAGUGUACAAAUAGCAAAGUUCGAUCUUUAAGAACCUUGCCACAUGUACAUUACGGCGUACACUUCAGUUUACACUUUGCCACGUGGCAUUAUCCUGUUGGAUAGUUUAAAUUUUGAAUAGUUUUCCCAUCCAAUUGACACUUGACAACAAUGCAAGUGUCCAACUACUUGAAAAAAAUCAGUGUACAAAUUGUAAAGUUCAAUCGGUAAGAACCUUGUGACAUGUACACUAUGGUGUACACUCUAGUUUACACUUUGCCAUGUGACACUACCCUACUGGACAGUUUAAAUUUCAAAAAGUUCUCCCAUCUAAUUGACACUUGACAACAAGGCAAGUGUCAAACAACGUGUCAAAAAUCAGUGUACAAAUAGCAAAUUUCAAUCGGUAAGGAUCUUGUAGAACCCAAAUAAUUCUAGACACCUUAGUGGCACUAAGACAUGAAUUUUGGAUGAAUAAAGUAUACUUCAGAUUUUUAGUCUCAUUUGAGACCCAUUUUCGACAUAGGAAACAUUCAAUUUGGAAACUAAUAUCUAAAUAAAAGUUGUAGUUCUUUGAGUUAUCUUUCCAACGUACUUUGAAUUACCUCAAUCGGAUAUCGAGAGAAGAAGUUAUGAUAGAAACACUGAAAGCUAUGCAGUGUCAACCGGACUACAACAGGCCGACCGAAACUGCCUGAAAUGAAAAUUCUCGUUUUUCUCUAGAAUUUAAAUAUUUAAUUUCAUCAAUUAUUUUCUCAAAGGGCCACCCACGUUUUUGGCAAUAAAAAUCCCACUAAAUUGAAGCAUUUAACCUCAAACUUAAAUGGUACCCAUGUUUUCUCUCUUAAAUGAAAUUUGACCCUUUAUUUGCUUUAAGUUAUGAGAUAUUUACCUAUAAAUAGAGACAUCAUUUAACUCAAUUUUCUCACACCAAAAGCAAGAGUUUUUACAUACUAAAGAAAGAGUUUCCAAGAGAGAAAAAGAGAGGGAGGAAAACUAUUUUUCCUAGAAGUUUAAGAAGUGUUUUCAAGUAUCAAUUCUCAACGGUUUUCAAACAUCCAAGGAAUGCAUUUCUUUCAACAUCCAAGUUUUAUCGAAGUUUUCAAUCCAAGUUUUCAAAGUUACAAAAGCAUAAAUCAAGGUAGGUAGAGGUGUAAUUGUUUAAUCGUGUUAAAUUAUAAGUUUCGAUUCAUGUUACUGUUUGUAUGUCAAAUGGUACUCCGGUACGGCAUAUCCCUCUAUGUUAAUGGUUGUAUGUCAAAUGGUACUCCGGUAUGGCAUACCCCUCUAUGUUGAAGAAAUGUUCGUAUGUCAAAUGGUGCCCUCAAGUACGGCAUACCCCUUCAUGUCAAAUGGUGCCUCCGGGUACGGCAUGUAUGAAAAGUUAUAAAGUUAAUGUUUUGAAAUGUAUAGUUUGAUCACGAAUGCACUUAUGACACCUAUUGAGUUUUUCAACUCACGGGUUUAAUCUCAUCUCUACAGAUUGAAGGAAUUCUACCUUGGGCAUGGAUGGAGGAGAAGAUGGAGAGUGAUGCAACGAGCCCAUGGAAAUUCGGUGAAUAAGUGAUUUGGAUAUAUUUUUAUGAAAUAUUUUCCAAUGUUAUUUCUUUAAAGUUUUUAAUAACGCAGAAUGCGAGAACAAGUUAUGUUUUCUUCAAAUAAAUUAUAUUUUGUUGUUUUGAAAAAUGAUUCAGUGUUUUUGGUUAAAGUAUUUGAAGUAUUGUUAUUUAAAUUAUUAUCCGAAGAUGUAAGCUUCCGCUAAAACGUAUACACGUGUUACUAAACCACCAGUUAAGCUAAGUAAAGUAAGUAGCGUUCUGGUCCACUAGGGGUCGGGGCAUUACAGCAUCGUAUUAGAGCAAUGAUUGGCCGGUUCUAUAGACCAAGUAUUUCUUUUUUUAAAAACAAAAGAAAAAUGAAAAGUUUAAGGUAUUCCAUGGCAUCGUGCAUCCAUCUAUCAAUCUCAUCCUAUGGCCCAGGUAUGUUCAUGUUUAAAGUUAAUGAUUAUGUUUAUGUUAUGAUGCUUUGAUAUGAUUUAGAGAUGUGUUAUUUAAAGAUAUUUAAUGGCCUUGGGUAAAAGCUAAGGGCUUAAAGGGAAUUGCAUGAUAUGAAAGUUUAAAUAUUUGCAUGCUUUCUUUAAGCAAAGAAAAAGUAUAAUGUAUGUGAAAAUGCAACAGAUAUGGCUCGUAGAACGGCUAGGGCAUAUAGAGAAGCAUUGAACCGUAGAAUUGCUAUUCAUUGCUAUGAAAACUAUGUAACUGAUCCGACCCGACCGCUUAGUGAACAUGUGUAUGACAUCUAUGAGAGAUGCAUGAUGACGGUUAAUGCUGGAAUGGAGAUCACGCAUAUUGAGGCCAUAAAUAACCUCACACGCUCCCUCCCACCUCAAUGGGGAGAUAUGAGAGUCACGAUUAGAGAUGAAAUGUUAGAAGGCAACCCAAACCUGUUCGAGUUUGAGAGGUAUUUUCAUGCCCUGAUUGAUUUGUGGGAUGAUGUAAUCCAUGAGGAGCUUGAGGAGGAACCUUUGGCUGAGGAAGAAGAUCUCGAAGAAGAACCCGAUGAUGAUUUAGAAAAUGAUCCUGAGCCUGAGCCUGAGCCACAAGUUAAGAUGGACAUAGAGUCCAAACCUGAGGCGGAAGACUCCUCUGAAGAUGAAGCUCCACCAAAGAAGAUCCGUAGAACUUAUAGGGAUUAGAUUUAAAUCCUUGUAAUAGCUUCCCUUAUGUCAAGAAAUAAAAUACUAUCUUCUUUGCUUUAGUAUUCGAAGAAUGAAACUAAUAAGAACCAUAUGUUUUGUCUAAAGGAAAUGGCCCGUGCAAACUAAAACUUGAUAAGAGACCUCCUUCGAGCAGUUCAAGACUUAGGCAGGCAAAAUCCGAACCAAGCUCAACCCCUACCACUAGCUCCUAAUGUUCCAAACCAUGAUUCAGUGGUCGAGCAAUUUCGAAGGCACAAGCCCCUACCUUCAACGGAGCAGCUGAUCCACUUGCAGUCGAGAAGUGGCUUCACAAGUUGGAGCGUAUAUUCCGAUUGAUAGGGUGCACAGACGCUCAGAAAGUCCAGUGUACUGAGUUCAUGUUCUCCGGUGAUGCAAGUCACUGGUGGGACUCAAUGUCAAGGACAAGGACCCCUGAGCAACAAGCAGAAUUGACUUGGGAGCAAUUCAAAGGGGAAGUAAUGGACAAGUACUUUCCCCUGUCCUUGAGGGAUCACAAAGAAAGUGAAUUCCUCCAACUCAAGCAAAAGACUAUGUCCCUGACUGAAUAUGAGAGGAAGUUUGAUCAACUUUCAAGAUAUGCUCCACAACUGGUGGAUACGAAGGAUAAGAAGGUACGAAGGUUUGAACAAGGACUGAACUCGGAUAUAAGCAUUAUACUUCUGUCCCAUCGCUUCACCACAUACCGUGAAAUGCUGGAAAGAGCUCAUGCUAUUUAGUACCAGAAGACUAGCGCCGAAUAACAUGGUCAACUGUUCAAUCAACCGGACAAUGGUAACAUGGAAAAGAGGAAAUGGAAUUGCUAGGACAAGGGAAAAGGCAAGUGGCAGAACAAGAAAGCUAAUGGCGGAGCCAAUGCCAGCAAAAGCAUUGUGUCGGUUAUUGCACCCUGUUCUAAGUGUGGAAGGACACAUCGUGGCGAGUGCUUACAAUGGAAAAAUGUUUGUUUCCGAUGUGGCAAGCCAGGACAUAUUAUUAGGGAUUUUCCCACACAUACCCAGAAGAAGGAUGAUAACAACGACCAGAACCAGAAAGGGAAAGCACGAGUUUUUGCAUUGACUCAAUAGGAUGCAGAGGAAAACUCUAAUGUCAUAGCAGGUACUCUACUGAUAGCCAAUACACCUGUUUAUGUAUUGUUUGAUUCAAGAGCUACACACUCCUUUGCUUCAACAACUUUUAUGGCUAAAUCUAGUAUUACCUGUGAUAAGUCGGAAGGUACAUUAGAAGUUAGUAUUCCUUCGGGCAACCCUUUGAAUACUGAUAGAAUAGACAAGUUAGUAAGUAUUGAAGUUGAGGGAAAACUAAUGGAACCGAACCUAUACAUGAUAGAAAUGAAGGAUUUUAAUGUAAUACUAGGCAUGGAUUGAUUAGGUUGUAAUUACGCCACCAUCCAAUGUAAGGAAAUGGAAGUAUCAUUUCAGAAACCAGGAGAGGAACCAUUUUCGUUCCUUGGAAUGAAGACAAAACCCCUUAUUCGACUAGUAUCGGCUUUAUAAGCUGAGAAGAUGUUGAGAAAACAAACAUGUCAAGGAUAUCUAGCAAGUAUCUCAGGAGGGAAAUAAGAGACGAUAAGGGUUGAAGAUGUACCAGUAGUACGAGAAUUCAUAGAUGUGUUUCCAGAAGAUCUAUCUGGUAUUCUUCCCGAUAGAUAAGUGGAAUUCACCAUAGACCUAAUUCCCGAGGUGGCACCAGUAUCUAAGGUCCCAUACCGAAUGGCCCCAAAGGAACUACAAGAAUUAAAGAAGCAGUUGCAAGAACUCCUAGAGAUGUACUUCAUACGACCAAGCGUAUCUCCAUGGGGUGUGUCGGUGUUGUUUGUAAAAAAGAAAGAUGGAAGCAUGAGGAUGUACAUCGAUUAUAGGGAGAUAAAUCGAUUAACCAUCAGGAAUAAGUACCCACUCCCGAGGAUCGAGGAUCUGUUAGAUCAACUGAAAGGAGCUAAGGUGUUUUCCAAGAUCAACUUAUGAUCGGGAUACCAUCAACUGAAAGUAGAGACAAAGGAUAUACCUAAGACAGCUUUUAGAACUCGAUAUGGACACUAAGAGUUUAUGGUGAUGCUAUUUGGGCUAACCAAUGCACCUGCAGUGUUCAUGGACCUAAUGAAUCGAAUGUUUCAUCAAUACUUGGAUAAGUUUGUCAUAGUCUUCAUCGAUGACAUUCUGAUAUAUUCCAAGAGUAAGGAGCAACAUGAAGAGCACUUGAGAAUAGCCUUAGAGGUAUUACGGAAGGAGAAGCUGUAUGCCAAAUUCAAGAAGUGUGAGUUAUGGCUUGAACGAGUUGGAUUUCUUGGACAUGUAGUUACCGCCCAAGGGAUUAAAGUAGAUCCAGCAAAAGUAGAAGCAGUAACCAACUGGAAAACACCAACAAAUGCUGGCGAAGUACGGAGUUUUCUAGGAUUGGCUGGAUAUUAUAGAAGAUUCAUAGAAGAAUUCUCCAAAAUAGCUGGACCAAUGAUGCAGCUUACAAGGAAGGGAGUAAAAUUCCAAUGGACGGAAAAAUGCAAACAAAGUUUCCAAGAACUUAAGUUGAAGUUGAUAUCAGCAACUGUAUUAACAAUACCUGAAGGUACGGAAGGGUUUGUUAUAUACAGCGAUGCAUCCAAGUGAGGAUUGGGAUGUGUACUAAUGCAGAAUGGAAAAGUGAUAGCCUAUGCUUCAAGACAAUUGAAGAAACAUGAGCAGAACUACCCGACGCAUGAUUCAGAACUUGCAGUGGUAGUACACGCUUUGAAGAUAUGGCGACACUACUUAUAUGGACGGAAGUGUGAUAUCUACACAGAUCACAAAAGUCUCAAGUAUUUCUUCACACAGAAGGAAUUGAAUAUGCGACAAAGACGCUCUAAGUAGAAAAUCACUACCAUCCGGGUAAGGCUAAUGUUUUGGCCGACGCUCUAAGUAGAAAAUCAAUUGACGUCACUACCCACCUCUCAAGUGAAGUUAGUCAAGGACUUGGAAAAGUUGCAGAUCAAAGUGGUUACCACACCAGGACAAGUCACUGCUUGUCUAGCAGCUUUAAUAAUUCGACCUACUCUUAGAGAUCGAAUUAUAGAAGCAAAAAACAAAGGCUCAUUUUUGCAGAAGAUUAAGAACGAAGUUGGUACCGAUAAGAAAAAGGACUUUGGAGUAGCUGAGGAUCAGGCACUGAUAUUUAGAGGAAGAAUUUGCAUGCCUAAGGAUGAAGCCUUGAGAAAAGAGAUAUUAAAAGAAGCUCAUUCCACCCCGUACACAGCACAUCCCGGUGGUACGAAAAUGUAUCGAGAUCUUCGAGAUACAUUUUGGUGGAGAAAUAUGAAAAGAAGUAUAGGGCUGUACGUGCAGAAGUGUAUGGUAUGUCAACAGGUUAAGGCAAAACACUAAAAACUAGCUAGACUGUUAAAUCCACUAGAUAUACCUGAAUGGAAAUGGGAAAAUAUCAUGAUGGACUUUGUGGUUGGAUUCCCGAAAUGAGCAAGAGGAAAUAAUGCUAUAUGGGUAGUAGUAGAUCGACUAACGAAGUCAGCUCAUUUUCUUCCAGUGAAAAUGACAUUCAGUUUAGACCAAUUGGCAUAGUUGUACAUUAAAGAGGUUGUGAGAUUACAUAGUGUACCUGUAUCCAUUGUGUCUGACAGAGACCCAAGGUUCAUGUCCAAAUUUUGGAAAAAUCUACAAGGAGCUAUGGGAAUGAAGCUGAACUUUAAUAUAGCAUAUCACCCUCAGUCCGAUGGUCAGUCUGAAAGGACCAUCCAAACUUUGGAAGACAUGCUGAGAACUUGUGUUUUGGAUCUAGGAGGUAAUUGGGAGUCAUACUUACCUCUAGUAGAGUUCGCUUAUAAUAACAGUUUCAAAGCAACAAUUGGAAUGGCACCAUAUGAAGCUCUCUAUGGUAGUAGAUGUAGAUCCCCUGUUCAUUGGGACGAAGUCGAAGAGAAGAGAGUUUUAGGACCAGAAAUAGUUGAAAGGACGGUUGAGGUAAUCGAUAAGAUCCGUGCAAGAAUAAAGGCAGCACAGGAUCGACAAAAGAGCUAUGUAGAUAUGAGGAAGAAGGAUUUAGAAUUCCAAGUUGGGGAUAAAGUGUUUCUGAAAGUAGCACCGAUGAAAGGUGUACUUAGAUUUGGAAAGAAAGGCAAGCUACGACCCCAAUAUAUCGGACCUUUCAAGAUACUUGAUAGAGUCAGAAAUGUGGCUUACCGACUAGCUUUGCCACCUGAAUUAUCGACAGUGUACAAUGUGUUCCAUAUAUCGAUGAUAAAGUGGUAUGUACAUGAUCCUAAUUAUGUAGUUAGUUAUCAAACCUUGGAGGUACAGAAAGAUUUAUCGUACGAGGAACUACCAAUCAAGAUAUUGGAUCGAAAAGUGCAUAAACUAAGGAAUAAGAGAUUCAGCUGGUUAAGAUACAGUGGAAUCAUCACGGAGUAGAAGAAGCUACUUGGGAAAAGAAGAAGAAGCCAAAGAUAAGUAUCCAUCACUAUUCGCCCAAUCAGAAGGUAAAUUUCGAGGAUGAAAUUUUAAUUAAGGUGUGGGGGAUGUAGAACCCCAAAUAAUUCUAGACACCUUAGUGGUACUAAGACAUGAAUAUUGGAUGACUAAAGUAUACUUCAGAUUUUUAGUUUCAUUUGAGACCCAUUUUAGACAUAGGAAACAUUCGAUUUGAAAAAUGAUAUCUAAAUAAAAGCUGUAGUUCUUUAAGUUAGCUUUCUAACUCACUUUGAAUUACCUCAAUCGAAUAUUGGGACAAGAAGUUAUGAUAGAAAUACUAAAGGCUGUGCAAUGUCUACCGGACUACAACCCGUCGACCGAAACUCCCUGAAAUAAAAAUUCUCGUUUUUCUCUAGAAUUUAAAUUUUUAUUUUCAUCAAUUAUUUUCUCAAAGGGCCACCCACAUUUUUGACAAUAAAAAUCCCACUAAAUUGAAGCAUUUAACCUCAAACUUAAAUGGUAACCAUGUUUUCUUUCUUAAAUGAAAUUUGACUAUUCAUUUGCUUUAAGUUGUGGGAUAUUUACCUAUAAAUAGGGACCUCAUUUAACUCAUUUUUCUCACACCAAAAGCAAGAGCUUUUACAUACUAAAGAAAGAGUUUCCAAGAGAGAAAAAGAGAGGGAUGAAAACUAUUUUUCCUAGAAGUUUAAGAAGUGUUUUCAAGCAUCAAUUCUCAACGGUUUUCAAACAUCCAAGGAGUGCAUUUCUUUCAAUGUCCAAGUUUCAUCGAAGUUUUCAAAGUUUCAAAAGCAUUAAUCAAGGUAGGUAGAGGUGCAAUUGUUUAAUCGUGUUAAGUUAUGAGUUUCGAUUCAUGUUAAUGUUUGUAUGUCAAAUGGUACUCCGGUACGGCAUAUCCCUCUAUGUUAAUGGUUGUAUGUCAAAUGAUACUCCGGUAUGGCAUACCCCUCUAUGUUGAAGAAAUGUUCGUAUGUCAAAUGGUGCCCUCGGGUAUGGCAUACCCCUUCAUGUCAAAUGGUGCCUCCGGGUACGUCAUGUAUGAAAAGUUAUAAAGUAAAUGUUUUGAAAUGUAUAGUUUGAUCACGAAUGCACCUACGACACCUAUUGAGUUUUUCAACUCACGGUUUAAUCCCAUCUCUACAAAUUGAAGGAAUUCCACCUCGGGCAUGGAUGGAUGAGAAGAUGGAUAGUGAUGCAACGAGCCCAUGGAAAUCUAGUGAAUAAGUGAUUUGGAUUUAUUUUUAUGAAAUGUUUUCCAAUGUUAUUUCUUUAAAGUUUUGAAUAACGUAGAAUGCGAGCACAAGUUAUGUUUUCUUCAAAUAAAUUAAAUUUUAUUAUUUUGAAAAAUGAUUCUGUAUUUUUGGUUAAAGUAUUUGAAGUAUUUUUAUUUAAAUUAUUAUCCGAAGAUGUAAGCUUCCACUAAAAUGUAUACACUUGUUACUAAACCACCGGUUAAGCUAAGUAAAGAAGGUAGCGUUCCGGUCCACUAGGGGCGUUACAGAUCUUGCUACAUGUACACUAUGGUGUACAGUUUAGUUUACAUUUUUCCACAUAACAUUACCCUAUUGGACAGUUUGAAUUUCAAACAGUUUUCCCAUCCAAUUGACACUUGACAACAAUGCAAUGGUCAAACAACGUGUCUAAAAUCAAUGUACAAAUAACGAAGUCCAAUCGGUAAGAACCUUGCUACAUGUACACUAUGGUGUACACUUUAAUUUACACCUUGCCACGUGACAUUACCUUGUCCGACAGUUUAAAUUUCAAAUAGUUUUCCCAUCCAAUUAACACUUGACAACAAUGCAAGUGUCAAACAACUUGUCAAAAAUCGGUGUACAAAUAGCGAAGUUCAAUCGGUAAGAACCUUGUGACAUUUACACUGCCUUGCGACAUUUACACUGUAGUGUACCCUUUAGUUUACACUUUACCACGUGACACUGCCCUACUGGACUGUUUAAAUUUCAAAAAGCUUUCCCAUCUAACUGACACUUGACAAUAAGGCGAGUAUCAAACAACGUUUCAAAAAUCAGUGUACAAAUAGCAAAGUUCAAUCGGUAAGAACCUUGCCACAUGUAUACUAUGGUGUACACUUUAAUUUACACUUUACCACGUAACAUUACCCUCUCGGACAUUUUAAAUUUCAAACAUUUUUCCCAUCUAAUUGACACCUGACAACAAUGCAAGUGCCAAACAAUGAGUCAAAAAUCAAUGUAUAAAUAGCAAACUUCAAUCGGUAAGAACCUUGCCACAUGUACACUAUGGCGUACACUUUAGUUUACACUUUACUAGGUGUCAUCACCCUGUUGGAUAGUUUAAAUUUCAAAACAAUUUCCCAUCCAAUUAACACUUGACAACAAUCCAAAUGUCAAACAACGUUUCAAAAAUUAGUGUACAAAUAGCAAAGUUCAUUCAGUAAAAACCUUGCUACAUGUACACUAUGGUGUACACUUUAGUUUACACUUUGCCCCGUGACAUUACUCUAUUGGACAAUUUAAAUUUCAAUUAGUUUUCCAUCCAAUAGACCCUUGAGAACAAUAAAGGUAUCAAAUAACUUGUCGAAAAUCUGUGUACGAAUAGCAAAGUUCAAUCGGUAAGGACCUUGCUACACGUACACUAUGGUGUACACUUUAGUUUACUUUUUGCCACGUGACAUUACCCUAUUGGACAGUUUAAAUUUCAAACAGUUUUUCCAUCCAAUUGACACUUGACAACAAUGCAAUUGUCAAACAACAUGAGAAAAAUCAAUGUACAAAUAGCAAAGUUCAAUCGGCAAGAACCUUGUUACAUGUGCACUAUGGUCCACUUUAAUUUACACUUUGCCACGUGACAUUAUCCUGUUGGACAGUUUAAAUUGCAAAUAGUUUUCCCAUCCAAUUGACACUUGACAACAACUGUGCAAUUGUAAAAGUUGUCAAAAAUUAGUGUGCAAAUAGCGAAGUUCAAUCAGUAAGAACCUUGCGACAUGUACACCACGGUGUACACUUUAGUUUACAAUUUUCCACGUGACACUACCCAGCUGGACAAUUUAAAUUUCAAACAAUUUUCCCAUCUAAUUAACACUUGGCAACAAUGCAAGUGUCAAACAACGUGUCAAAAAUCAGUGUACAAAUAGUAAAUUUCAAUCGGUAAGAACCUUGCUACAUGUACAAGAUGGUGCAAACUUUAAUUUUACACUUUGCCUCAUGACAUUAUCCUGCUGGACAGUUUAAAUUUCAAACAGUUUUCCCAUCCAAUUGACACUUAAAAACAAUGCAAGUGUCAAACGACGUAUCAAAAAUCAGUGUACGAAUAGCAAAGUUCAAUCGGUAAGAACCUUGCUAUAUGUACACUAUGGUACACUUUAAUUUUCACUUUGCCACAUGACAUUAUCCUGUUGGACAGUUUAAAUUUCAAAUAGUUUUCCCAUCCAAUUGACACUUGACAACAAUGCAAGUGUCAAAGGUAUCAUAAAUCGGUUUACAAAUAGCAAAGUUCAAUCGGUAAGAACCUUGCGACAUGUAUACUAUGGUUUACACUUUAGUUUACACUUUGUCACGUGACACUCCCUGCUGGAGAGUUUAAAUUUCAAACAGUUUUCCCAUCCAAUUGACACUUGACAACAAUGUAAGUGUCAAACAACGUGUCAAAAAUCAGAGUACAAAUAGCAAAGUUCAAUCGUUAAGGACCUUGUUAUUUGUACACUAUAGUGUACACUUUAAAUUACACUUUUCCACAUGACAUUACCCGAUUGGACAGUUUAAAUUUCAAAUAGUUUUCCAAUCCAAUUGACACUUGACAAUGAUGCAUGCGCAGAACAACGUGUCAAAAAAUAGUAAACAAAAAGAAAAGUUCAGUUGAUAAGAACCUUGCUGAUGCGAACCCCGUAGCAAUGGAAACUACGAAACCCACAACGUGAUUGAUGCGGAACCCAAGAGCGCCAAUACUAACCUGGUUUUGGAUCUUGAACCCCAAGAAUUGAACCAAAAAACCCUAUAUUAGCAAAGCACCUAAAACCCCUUGAUUACAAUUAAAAGAACCCACAAUCCGAUUGAUUAGAACGCCGCAAGAAGUUGAAUCUUGAUAAGUUCCAAGAUUGUAACGCCACAAGAAGUUGAAUGUUGAUAAGUUCCAAGAUUGUUCAAGAAGAACAAGAAAUUGAAAGAACAAUUCUCUCUCUAUAAUAUUAAGCAAAAGUCAAAAGUUGUUACAAUGAAAAGUAUUCUCCUAUUUAUACUAAAGAGUAAAAAACGUCCAAAAUCCAUCAAAUUAUGGUAAUAAUUUGAUUUCAUAAGAAUUCUAUUGAAACUAGGAAAUUCGGCCAAAAUUAGAAAAUUCGCCAAUUUUUUUGGCUUAUGCAGUCGCAUGGUGUAAUUCCAUGUAGUCGCAUGGUUCAACAAGAAAUGCAAUAUUUUUUUUCGGUAUGCCACUGUGCGGCCGCAUGAUGUUUUGCCUGUGAGGCCGCACAAGCUUAUUUUCAACCUCCGAUUUCAUCGCUUGAUAACAAAUUGAUCCAAGUUGAUUCGGCCUUCGACCCGAACAUGAAAGUUGCUCCAUUUUGAGUCCCGAACAUGGUUCCAUCAAUGGUUUCUUGAACGAGCAAUCCCAUCGCUUGUUUCACUUACUUUGCCCUUGAUCGCGUCAUUGGUCCACCAUCGACUAUCAACGGGUCUUGUCUCGCACUUGCCUUCGUCGGGCUCGACUGCUGGAUCAUAUUAUCCCCUCCCUCUUCAAAAGGAUUCGUCCUAGAAUCUGAACAUGUAUCAAACAGAGAGAGGUCAGAUACAUUAAAAAUAGCCGAAACAUUGUACUCACCUGGUAAAUCCAAUUUGUAUGCAUUGUCAUUGAUCCUUUCGAUGAUUUGAAACGGUCCAUCGCCUCCUGGUUGCAAUUUUGACUUCCUCUGUUCUGGAAAAUGCUCUUUUCUGAAAUACACCCAGACCCAAUCUCCAAGCUCAAAUGUAACGCAUCUUCUUCCUUGAUUUGCUUUUGAUGCAAUCAGCUUUCCUUUCUCUUCGAUCUGCAUCCUGACCUUUUCAUGGAGUGUUUUCACAAUCUCAGCUUUUCGUUUCCCAUCCAAGCUACCUCGUUCAUGCAUAGGCAAAGGUAUUAAAUCCAUAGGUGUUAGUAGAUUAAAACCAUAAACAAUUUCAAAAGGAGAAAACGAAGUAGUAGAAUGUGUAGCUCGAUUAUAUGCAAACUCUAUAAACGGUAAACACUCUUCCCAUGAUUUCAGAUUUUUAUUGAUCACUGUCCUAAGUAGUUGAGUCAUAGUUCGAUUAACUACCUCAGUUUGUCCAUCUAUUUGUGGGUGACAAGCUGUAGAAAAUAAUAACUUAGCUCCUAACUUACUCCACAGAACAUGCCAAAAAUGACUCAAAAACUUCACGUUCCUAUCAGACACUAUACUUUUAAGUACUCCAUGUAAACGUACUAUUUCCCUAAAGAAUAAGUCUGCAAUAUUAGUAGUAUCGUCAGUUUUAUGACAUGGUAUGAAGUGCCCCAUCUUACUAAACCUAUCGACCACUACAAAUAUUGAAUCCCGGCCCUUUUUGUCCUAGGCAAACCUAACACAAAGCCCAUAGAUAUGUCUACCCAAGGUUCACUAGGUACAGACAAAGGAGUAUACAAACCAUGGGGUUGAACCUUAGACUUAGCCUUUUUACAAGUUAUGCACUUUCCACAUAUUUGUUCUACGUCAUGUCGUGUUUUAGGCCAAUAAAAAUGUUUCCCUAACAUGUCUAAAGUCUUUUGAACCCCGAAGUGUCCCAUUAAACCAACCCCAUGUGCUUCCCUUACCAAUAAUUCAUGCAAAGAACAAUUAGGAAUGCACAACUUAUCUUCCCUAAACAAAUAUCCUUAAUGCCUAUAGAAUUUAUCAAAUACACCUUUGUCACAUGAAGAUAAAUACUAGAAAAAUCAUAAUUAGAUUCAUACAUGCCCUUAAUAUGCUCGAAACCAAGUAAUUUAGUACUUAAUGAAUUUAAAAGCACGUACUUUCAAGACAACGCAUUAGCAACUAUAUUUUCGUUACCUUGUUUGUACUUGACGACGUAGGGAAAUAUCUUGAUAAACUCCACCCAUCUCGCGUGUCUUUUGUUCAACUUACCUUGACCUCACAAAUGCUUUAAAGAUUCAUGAUCGGUGUGUAUCACGAAUUCCUUUGGCCAUAAGUAGUGCUGCCAAGUCUCCAAUGCUCGAACAAGUGAAUACAUCUCCUUGUCAUAUGUCGGAUAAUUCAAUGUUGCCCCACUCAACUUUUUGCUAAAGUAAGCAAUAGGUCUCCUUUCUUGCAUUAACACUGCUCCUAUACAUAUUCCUGAUGCAUCACACUCAACUUUGAAUGUUUUAUCAAAAUUUGGUAAUGCCAAAACAGGUACUUUACAUAGCUUAUCCUUAAUUGUGUUAAAUAAAAUUUCUUGAGAUUCUCCCCAAUGGAAACCUACACUCUUCUUUACUAUUUCAGUCAACGGUGUGGUGAUGGUGCUAAAAUUUCUUAAAAAUCGCCUAUAAAAACUAGCCAAUCCAUGAAAACUCCUAACUUCAGUUAUGGUCUUAGGUGUUGGCCAUUAUUUUAUAGCUUUUAUCUUUUCUUCAUCGACUUCCAUCCCAUUAGCACUAACCACAAAUCCUAGGAAAACAACUCUAUCCAUGCAAAAUGUGCCCUUUUUGAAAUUAGCAUAUAGUUGUUCCUUUCGCAACACAACAAGCACACAAUUUAAAUGUUCUAAAUGCUCAUCUAGGUUUUUGCUAUAGAUUAUAGAUUAAGAUGUCAUCAAAAUAAACUACAACAAAUUUCCCAAUAAAAGCACGCAAAACAUGGUUCAUUAAACGCAUAAAAGUGCUCGGUGCAUUAGUGAGUCCAAACGGCAUAACUAACCAUUCAUACAAUCCAUACUUAGUCUUAAACGCCGUUUUCCAUUCAUCACCCUCCCGCAUGCGAAUUUGAUGAUACCCACUCUUAAGAUCAAUCCUACUAAAAAUGCAAGCACCAUGCAACUCAUCAAGCAUAUCAUCUAGCCUAGGUAUUGGGUGACGAUACUUUACCGUGAUAUUGUUGAUAGCUCGGCAAUCCAAAUACAUUCUCCAAGUCCCAUCCUUCUUAGGCACUAGCAAAAUAGGUACAGUACAUGGACUCAUGCUCUCCCUAACAUAACCUUUGCUCAUCAACUCCUCUACUUGCUUUUGAAGCUCCUUCGUCUCUUCGGGAUUGCUUCGGUAAGCUGGUCGAUUCGGUAUGACAGCUCCGAGUACAAAGUCAAUCUGGUGCUCGAUACCUCUAAUUGGUGGCAAUCCACUUGGCAUCUCCUCAGGAAACACAUCGUCGAACUCCUGCAAUAAAGACUUAACCAAACUAGGGAGGGAUAUGUUAGAAUCCUAAAAAUUGAGGAGGGACUCCUUGUUCACUAACAAUAUCAUUUGCCUAUUAUCUCUCAUAGCCUCUUUCAACUCACUCUCUUUUGCAUAGAAGUUGACCUUUGGCUUUUCUCUCUGCUCAACUGACUCUUUUUCUCUCCUCUCAACUGACUCCUUUUCUCUCCGCUCAUGUGGCUUCUCUCUCUUUUCUCCACUCUCAGCCACCUCACUAUUUUCUCUCUUAUUGAUGGUUUCACUAUUGCCUCUCCUUUUUCCUGACCCUCUUACUCUCUUCUUCCUUACUUUUCAGCUUGAUUUGAUCUCCAUACACUUGUGCCGGUGUUAAUGGUACAAGAGUAAUAGUCUUUCCAUCCUUGACAAAGCUAUAACGAUUCCUAUAUCCAUCAUGUGUGACCCUUCUAUCAUAUUGCUAUGGUCUUCCUAACAAGAUAUAACCCACAUGCAUAGGCACCACUUCACAUACUACUUUGUCGCUAUAACUCCCAAUUGAGAAAUUAAUUAAAACUCUUUUAUUCACCCUAACUUCCCCACUUUCAUUCAACCAUUGUAACUUAUAAGGCCUAGGGUGUCUUAACAUACUAGUCUUAAUUUCUCAACUAAAGUUGUGCUAGCUACAUUCGUGCAACUCCCACCAUCAAUAAUCAUACUACAUACCUUAUCGUUCACGUAACGUGUGUGGAAUAUAUUUUCUUGCUGUUACUUCGAAUCAUCCACUUUGACUUGAGUGUUAAGAGCUCUCCUUGACACCAAAGAUUCCCCAACAUCAAACUCCAAUUUUUCUUCUUCUUCAACAUUCUCCAAUGCAAGCAUGUCCUCAAACUCUCCUUCACUUUCACUCACCACCUCUCCAUUAUCCAACAAAACCAUUACCCGUUUAUUUAGGCAUUGAGAAGCAAUGUGCCCUGACCCCAAGCAUCUGAAACACUUGAUGUCUCGAUUCCUUGAUGGUUGUGAAUUUGUUUUGGGUGCUGUUUUGCUAGCACUUUCUUCUUUCCCUUUCUGCCACUCAUUCCUACCUAUAGGUAUAGCUUUAUCACCUUUGUUGUUGUUGUUCCACCCUGGCUUCCAAGAUGGAUUAACACUCGAAGUUCGUAACGGCUGCCUAGCUGCCCCUUUCCUCUUCAACUAUCUCUCUACCUUCAUAGCCACAUGCAACAUGUCUUCCAACUCCGCAUAAUGUUGCAACUCCACUACAUUGGCAAUUUCCCUAUUCAACCCAUUCAAGAAUAGUGCCAUGGUAGCCUCCCGAUCCUCCACCACAUUGGCCCUAAUCAUGAGUAUUUCCUUUAUCAUGAGUUAUUUGAUACCUUUAUUCAAGAAUCGUGCCAUGGUAUCCUCCCGAUCCUCCUUAUGAUAGUCCUCUACCCUUUUCGACCCUUGAUAUAGACCUUGCAGUUUUUGAUGGAUCUCUCGGUAUUAGUGGCUAGGAACAAACCUCUUUCUCAUCAAUGACUUCAAUUCCUCCCAAGUGCUGAUUGGUCUUCCCCACUCCUACGUUGUGAAGUAAUCACUUGAUCCCACCAUGAAAUUGCAUAGUCACUGAACUCCAAAACUGCUAACUUCACCUUUUUCUCCUCUGAGUAGUUAUAACACUCGAAGAUCAUUUCAACCUUCCUUUCCCACUCCAAGUAUGCCUCAGGAUCACUCCUUCCUUUGAAUGAAGGAACUGUCAUUUUUAUAUUUCCCAAAUUUCCAUCCAACUCCUCCCCGCGAUCAUUUGGACCCCGUCUGUCGAACCUAUCGCCUCUAUUCCUCAUCCUUCCCAUCUCAACACCAUGAAAUUCAUCUUCGCCCAUGUCACUCCCAUAUCCAUACUCCUCUCACCGUUCCCUCCUAGGCUCCCAUCUAUCCGGUCCUCUGGCAUUGGAUAUAUCCACUCGAUGCCCCCGACUAAGAUUAGCCACCGAUGUAUCUAAUCUAUUCAUCCAAGCCUCCUGCUUCUCCAACAUAUCUCUCACAUCUCCAAACGCCCUCUCAAACCUCUGCACCAAAUCCUCUGAUGCAUUGCUAUUAUUGCCUUGUCGGCUUGAAUUUGAUUUGGCCCUUUCUGACAUCCUAACACUAAAGAUUUUUAUUUUACUGCCCCACCAAAAG